rnacentral:lncRNA from 1 species
UUUUUUUUUUUUUUUUUGGUGAGUGGAAGGCCUUGGAGGCUUUUUACUUGCACCCCCAGCUCCCGUGAUUUUGACAUUUGAAUGCUCGAUCGAUCGGGUUGUUUCUCGGUUACAAUCUCAUCUUCCGUGCACAUCACACAAGAAAUAUUGUUCUUUUUUAUUUUUUAAAGAUUUAAAAACUUUUGAAUACUAGAUCGAGGGUUUAAUUUCAGUACACCUCUUUCUCCUGUCAUUUUGACUUUUGAAUACUAGGCUUGGGGUUCAACCCACCGCCUAAUGCAUCACACAAAAAACAUAGCGUUUCUUAUUUUUUGAAAAUCCAAAGGGGUUUUGAAUACUAAAUCGGGGGUUCAAUCCCAUCCAUCCAGUGCAUCACAAAAAAAAAAAAUAGUGCUUCUUAUUUUUAAAAAAAAUUCAAAGAGUGGAAUAGUGCAUUUAUUUAAUUUAUUUAAUCUGAUGAUUUACUUCCCAACUUUCAUUGAAACCCCUUAGGGUGCGUUUGGUAUCCCAUAGAAUUGGGGUUUAGAAUUGGAAUUGGAACCCCAAUUCUAAUUCUUGUGUUUGGACGCUGCAUUUUCCAUAGAAUUAGCAUUGAAUUCUAAUUCCAAGAGAUUCCAAUUCCACAAUCUCAAUUCUUUGUCGGACCAAAAGAAUUCUAAUUUCAAUUCCACAGCUGAAUUCCUAAUCGGGUCGACACGCGGGUCUUGUACGAGUAAAAACUCAAAAAUGGGUCAACUAUAAAACGGAUGGAAAAAACGCAAACCUCUCUCCUUCCCUUUCAACAUAAGUAGAAUAAGAGCCGAAGAGUGUUGAUGACCUGGAUGGUUUUCGUCGUCCUCUCACGUGCGCUGUGCGUGGUUCGUGACGACGUCGUUUUGUGUUGUUUGCUAAUGUGUUCCUCGCGCAUGACUCUUCGAACUCUAACCCUAGGUCAGACCAAAACGCCGCCUCUCUUCCCUUCCCUUUCUUCUCCCCGUCUCUCUCCUCAACCUUUCUCUCUGAUCAUUCUUCUUCCUCUCUCUCUCUCACUCGAUCUUGACCUCUUUAUUUUCUCCUCUGACUUUCUCCACCACACCGUCUCCCUCUCCUCUAAGAGCUCCUGCUACCCCCAACAUCACGAGUCCCCCUUCUCCCACCUCCCUGUGAUUUCCUUUCCACCUCCCUGCGCUUCAAGUUCAUCGUCGUUGGAUCCUCUUCCAGCCUUUGGGAGGACUUUCGAUCCCACCACAAGAUCCUCGCAGUCAUCAGCAUUUUUUACUACUCUUCCUCCCUCAAUCACCAUUCUCUCGCCCUUCAAUUUUAUUUUUAAAUUUUUUGCUCCUCAUUUUUUUUGCAGCCUGAAUAUCAAUAUUGGGCAGUAUUUCGGUGUUUUUGGCUUUUCGAUUAUUUUCCUGUUUCCCAGUCUACAUGCGAAGAUGCCUUUGCUUUUUUGUGAUGUUUUGCUUUGGUUUUCCAAAACAUCUUGAAAUUCUAUGGCUUAAGAGAUGGUCAUUUAGUGGUUUUUUUUUUGUAUCUUGGCUGAUUGUAUUCUUUUUAUUUUUCAGGGGAUUUUUCUUCAACAGCUUCAACAACAGGGUGCAACACCAUCUGGGACGAACAACCCUAUGAAGAGAAUUUUGAGAAAGAGGUGGGUCAAGAUGAUUGCCCGUGAUUUCAUUCAUUUGUUAUUUUUUAGAGGUUUUUUUUGGUCAUGGUGAAUUGGAUGUAAGUUUUUUGAUGGUUUUGAUGAAUUGGAGUCCUAUGUGUUUAAUUGCUUUUAGAUCCGUGACUUUUCUUUUCUUUUGGUUGUAAUAGUCGAAUUCGGAUCUUUGUUGUGCUUUUGCUCUAUUGUAUAUUUGUGUAUGGAUUCGUGUGCACUGUCAGUUUUUCGUCUAUUGCCGUGUAUGCUAUUUAGGAGAUAGGUGGACUAGCAUGGAAAACUACUAUGUUGGAAUGCGAAAUUGAUUUUUGACAUCAUUAUGUUUGCUGAUUUGAAGUGAUUUUGAGCUAUUCUUGUAAGGGAAGAUGUAAAGAAGUUUUUUUUUUUCUUUUUCUUUUCCCCAUGAUGAAUUUGUAGGUGUGGGCACUGUAAGAAGCUUGCUCCAGAGUACGAGAAGGUUGGUGCAAGUUUCACGAAAGUUAAAUCUGUUUUGAUUGGAAAGGUUAGCCUUUCAGCUCUUUUAUGAUCCAUUGACCCUUUCAGAUAUGGUAGGAAAAGUCUCAUUUUUACUCUAGGUUCGUAGUGUUGCUAUAUCAAUUAGGACAUUUGCCAUGGGUUAUUAAGUAGUUUAGCUAAAGUUGGUACAAUCUAAAGCUUGAAACUUCUGGGAAUGUUACUAUUGCAUUGCUGUAGAGAACUCAUAUAUGAUACAAAAUUCAUGGUUUUUGCCAUGCUAUCGUGGUGGGCUUGUUUUAAUGAAUUUUGGAGUUGUACAUUAUUAAGGGUUUUGUCAUUGUUUGAAUCAUCUAUCUUUGUGCUUUUUCUGAUCACCUUAGGAGUUGCCAUCCUUGGAAGUUACAUUAAUAUAGAGCAAGAUGCUACGGCAAAACUCUCUCAGACAAACUAUACGGUUAUUUCGUGUUGAAAAAGUGCUUACAUUUUUCUUUUUAUCCUUGCAAACUGGAUAUGCUCUAUUUGAUUUCCAUCACUGAAAUCUUGAGAAAGUGGAACCUGAGGUCCAUUGCUAUCUGGUUGCUUGUUGGCAUCAACAUCAGUUUAACUGUCUUAGCUAUUGUGAAUCUUCUAUUUUGCAUCUGAUUUAAUGUCAAUACUUAAAAGAUUAAUCAACGAUUUAGCUGUGAAUUAUAGCAAAAUAAGUUUAAUUUUUGAACUUAUUAUCAAAUUAUAUUUGUUGUAGGUGAACUGCAAUGAGCAUAAGAGCGUUGCAGCAAAUAUAGUGUUUGUGGUUACCCUAUAUCCAAUGGUUUCCAAAAGGUUCUUUGGAGCCCAAAAAGUUAGUUUAUGUGAAAUGCUGGAGUUUUCAAAAGGUCUUUGUUUUUCCGUACUUGCUCUGUUGAAAUGAUAUCUAUCCUGGUGUUGACUCUAUGUAAAUAUAACUUACAUGCCUUCAGUUCAUACAAUUGUAUUCCUCAUGAAUCUAUUUUUAUUCUCAGGUAUGAAGGUGCACGACCUGCAGAAGCCCUUACUGAGUUUGUGAAUAGUGAAGGAGGUAAUGUUAUUGUCUAGCUGGCUUGUGUUUUGUGGUCCAUAAGUGUAAUCCAUGCUAACAAGUUUGGUAGAUUUAUGUUAAACUAUAUUUUGGUAGAAGUGUUGAAUAAUCCACAAGGUUGUUAAAAUCCAAUCCAUAUUACUUACGAAGAUUAGAAAUUUACUUCACCUUAAGAUAUCACCAAACUCUUUUGGAUUCAUUGUGCUGAAAUAUCACCUUAAAUACUUGAUACUGGAACUUUGGCGUUAAUUCUUCUUGAUCUUGAGCAUACAUGAACUGUACACUUCCAUCCAUUGUUGAAGACCUGACCUUACUUGGUUUCAUUUCCAAUGAGGUUUCUUCUCUAUCAUUUUUCAUUAUGAAAAAUUUUUAUUUUCCAAAGAUUAGAUUUAAUCUUAAUGAAUUUGUUGCUUUUUCCUAUUUGAAUCAGAUGAGAUGAGCUUUGCAAGACAUUUCUUAUCAUUUUGCCAUUGCAAUAGUUUCUGGAAAAUGCAGAGCCAAGGUACAUUCAUGUAAAAAAAAAAAUGAAUAUUCUGGAAUAUUUUCAAAGUGAGACUCAUUUUGGCUAAUGAAUACUUAUUAGCAGGUUUACAAUGUUGUUAAGUUACCAGAACUUUAUUGUGCCAGCAAUACACUAUAUAAUCUGCCUACCCUACCGCCAAAGGUGUUUCUAUUACAUUUUAGGCAAGAAUAAUGAGUGUUCUGGUAAAUGGUGAGGUUGAGUAUGAUAAAAUUCAGCCCUUGAGAAAAAAUGCCACAUUCACAUUUUUACAUGAAAAAUGCAAGUUUUUCGUUUUGUUAGUUGUGUACAUUGAUGGCCUAUAUCUGGUACCAUGAAAUAAUUGCUUAGAAUAAUGGUUUAUGCAAAUUGAUGGGGUCUGAUGCCAAGUUUAAGAGGGAUAGAGUAGUGUAAUGCAAGUGUUUGUUCCUCAAGUGAGCUGACUUCAAUUAAUGAGCUAUUUUUAUUUACUUGAUGAUAAUGUAAACAGUGAGUUACAUAAUGCUAUAGGGGUUGGUUAAAGGGGAAAGGAAUUAUAUUAUAAUGAGGUGUAUGUUUGGUAACGGUAGAUUUUUGGAUAUGAAAAUGAUAAUAAUGCAUAAUGUUUUUGCCCGAAAAGGUGAUAGUAGUUAUUAUUUUUUUGUUAAGUUUGGUGCAUGAUGACAUGUAGUCCUUAGUUUGCUUUAAUUAUGGUUGAUUCCAUUCAAAUUUGAGAUUGUUUGUAUGUAAUUUGCAGGUUGAUGGCGCUAAAAUUUUCUUGUGGAUUUGAACAAGGUGCUUAAAUGAGCUGACUUUUCUUCAAAUUGGGAAUGGUUUAUGGAUGGUAGUUUUCAUAGUCAUGUCAUAAUGGAAUCCAAUAAUAAUGCUUAGUUCAUAAUUACCAAAAUAUGUAGUUUGUACGAGUGUAGAUUCUAUUUUUUCACAAUCUAUUUUUGGUUCAUAUAUUGUUUCCACUUACUUUUUUUAAGCUGUACAUGAAUACACAUUUUUUCCAUAUAUCAUUGUCGGCUAUUGAGCGAAUUGUUGAAUGUUAUCGGGAAGUUGGGUUCCAUGAAAUUGCCAAAUUGUGCCAUGCAGAAAUUGAAUUGAAGUUGAUUUUGGCAUAUUCAUAUUUUGCUUUCAUGUACAUUUCCAAAUUUGUAAUCUGCUACCGCCUACAAUUCUGGAAUUACGUCCGAAGAUGAUAUUUUGGAUUAUGUUAUGACGUUGAUUAUAACAUUCUAUUGAAUUCAAGACCAAGUUUCUGCCUGCCAAGUCACCUGCACAAGCAGGUUGAUUAUAACAUUCUAUUGAAUUCAAGACCAAGUUUCUGCCUGCCAAGUCACCUGCACAAGCAGGCCGUUGGCUCUGAGUUCUGCAAAAAUCUUAAAACCUCUUAUAGAGAGCAUACUCUCUCUCUCUCUCCAAUGACCAACUUAAGAUUUGAAUAUUCCUUUCGAUGAAUGCUUUAUCCUUGUAAGUUCUAUGUGUUGAACAUAGAUGAUCUAGAUUAUUCCUCCUCCCAAAAUUGCUGUAUUCUUGGUGUAAUAAAAAAAUUUAAUUCUAAUUCAAUUGAAAUGUAUUCUUUUGAAUUUAUAUAUAAUAGAAGUAACAAAGAGACACCCAUCAUCUCUCACACACAGAUAUGCAAGGCAAAAAUCACACUGUAGUAUUCUAACCAAAAAAAUAUUAAACCGAUUUUCACUGUUAUUGGAUUCCGCACUUCAGUUUUAGCAUUAGUUCAGCUUAUGAAACUGUUUCCUUGCAAAUGCCGUUUCUCCCUCUCAUUAACAGCUUCUUUAGCAAUCCUCCACUUCCCCUUUUUUCAACGGUACUUUUUUUCUCUUAUAACGUACGACUUAUGACGUACGAUAUAUGCAAAUCAUCAUGUUCUAUGCUUCUACAUGUCAUGAAAAAUGCUGAACUUUAUUCUCAUGCUAAACGAGCAAUAGAGUAAAGAUAAGACAAGAAUUCACUUUCAAGCUAAAAAAAUAUUAGCUUUAAAUCUCAGCAGUACCUUUAUCUAAAUCUAAAUAAAUAUUCAUACUAUUUUCGUGAAGCGAUUGUACCUUUUAUUUAUUCAUGUAUAUUUAUGUUUAACUGCGUACAUAAAAUUAUUAACCGAUAAAUAUUUUUGUUCUAUGACUCCAUAUAUUUAAGAGGGCAUGUUUUAUAUUUAUCCCAACGCGCAACGCGCGUUUUAUGCCUCCUAGUCAAUUAUCGAUCGCCAUAUCAGAAGCUCUGAUGGAGCAUUCUUCGUCGCCGCCGCCUCCUCCUCCAAUUACGUUGAUAGAGGCACUUUUGCUGCCGCCUCCACCCUUCCAUGCCCCACUCCCUGCCUUUUGCACAACUCAAGUUGAAAUUAUGGGGUUCCAAUUAGUUUCUAUCAGUUUUUUCCUUCCCCUCUUUGUGUUGACUUGUGCCUCCACCUCCGCUGGCCUGGUGUUGCCCACAUUUGUCGUCACCGUGCAUUCUCUCAUGCUUCCUCUCCUGGAUCGCUAAUUACUCUCUCCCUACUAUUCCAGAUUUUCCAGAUAGAUUUAGAGCUUACGAAGGUAACAUCAAAAUUUAAUUUUUGCCAAUUAAACAUUUUUUUAGGGGUUUUUUUUUUAUAAUUUGUGGUAUUGAUUCUAUACGGUUAUUAUUAUUAUAUUAAGCUUAUAAUUUACACUGUUAUGUGAACAAAAGAACAAGUUGGUCUUUGGUUUCGAGUGUCUUGUUUGUUUGAGUCUUAGUUAAUUAGUCAAAGUUUGGCUUGGAACCUUUUCGGAAUAAUGCCUGAAUGUUUAGGAUUUGAGGGUACUUAUGUACAAGUUAGCUGCUAAAAUUUGUCAGUUUACCUUGCAAUUAAAUAAAUGUAGAAAGUAGAAGGUGAUGCUGAUGUUGUGGAAAAAAUCUAUUAUAGUGAAUUAUAUCUCAUCCAAUAUAUUUGUGUGUUUACGUCUUUCAAUUUGAUUAUUGUUGCUCUAAACAUUUCUUUCUUUCUCUUACAUGUGGAGUUGCAGAAGAAAUUUAUAUUGAUGUUUGUACUUCUAAGAAUCAAGAUUGCUUCUUUGAACUGUAAAAUGAUCUGCUUACCGCAUUUCUUUGGGUACUUGGGCAUUUUUUUAUUGAUUAUGAGGCUUUUGGAAAAACCACCUUUGGUUGGAAGUAAACUAAUAAUACUACUAGUACUAUCAUUUUAUUCAUCUCUUGAUUUUCUAUCUCUUGCUUUUAGCUUGAUUCCCAAUACUAACUAGUAGUACUCCUUAAUUGCCUCUGCUUCUGGCGUUUAAACAUCUCCUAUCCCAGUAAUUCCUCAGCCUAUCAUGUUUAAUUACAGGUUAGUGCCAUCUUCUCGCUAUUGAUGGGACCAUUAGCUUACACCAAUAUAUAACUAAGUCCGGACUCCACAGAUGGACAAGAAUUUAAAAGAAUAGUUUCACUAGCCAUGCUUGUCAAGAUAGAUUUCUGGAGAAUGCUAACAUAGAUCUAAAUGACUAACUUGUAAUACAUUUAUGAUGCAGUUUAGAGUUAUGCCAUGAUCCUCACACAUGCACAGACAGGGAGAGGGGAAGUUGGCAGCCCUGUAAUUCCAAUGGUGUGAAUAUUGAAUGCUGACCAUAUUUGCCAAGACAGAAACUGUUGUCUUGGAGACGAGCUUGGCCGUAGGUUUGUACACCACAUUGCGUUUCCCGUCUGCUUUUAAGUCCUUAGCAGAGGGAGAAGAAACAGCAGCCCCGCAUAGAUUAGCCUGGAAUCAGAAGACAUGUAACAGUAAGAUAUCUACGUCUUGGGGGGAAAAUGCAGGAGAAAUUUCUAAUUUUGUGAUGAAUUUUAAAAAAAUUCUACAAAAGGGGUGAUUUUGAUUGGGUAUUCCGUAGGGGGGGUCUUCGCAUUUUGCGAAUGCGAGCUCUGCUUAUUGAGCUCGCAUUCCACAAAUGCGAGCUCAAUAGAGCUCACCCUGAUAUUUUUUUUUUUUUUUGGGCUCUCAUUAAAUUUUUUCCAGAAAAUAGUAAGAGCUAAAUAAAAUUUUUCAAAUAGCUCGCAUUUGAUAAAUUUGACCUCCAAAAAUUGUAUUUAUCAAAUAAAUUUUUGGGCCCUCAAUAAAUUUUUUUUAUCAAAUUCUAAUUUUCCUUUGUUAUUAAUGAAUCGUAUUUAUUUGUUGACACCGACGAAUUUUAGUUAUAAGAAUCUAAUAGUUAAUAGUCAUUAAUAUCUGUUACAAUUUCAACUGUAAUUUUAGAAAUUUCAUAACGCAAUGUUAUUUAAAAAAAUUAUAUAAGUUAUUUUUAUGAAGUGCAUGUUAUUUAUUUUCUUUGUUUUGCUGUUCGACAAUUCCGAAAUCUUUGUUUUGAUGUUCGGCAGCUAUGUUUCGAUAUUGCGUUCUGCUUCUCCCACUCACUUUUGUCUUUUUUUUUUCGAAAUGGGUCUUGGCGGUAUGUAGUGCGAGGAUGCGAGCUCAAUGAGCUCGCAUUUCCAGAAUGCGAAGACCCUCUUUUGUGGAAACAAACCCAAGAACCGCCCUCGUUGUAGAAUUCUUUUUUUUUUUCCAUCAUAAACUGAGAAUUCACCCAAAAUGCAGUGAAUGGGAGGAGAAUUACACUCGAUUGCUCGAAAUGUGAUUGAAAGGACAUUUGGUUUGUCCAAGAAGCGAUGGGCCAUUUUGAGAGAUGCAUCUUUUUUUGAUAUCAAUACUCAUGUCAUGAUAAUUAAUGAAUGCGCCAUCUUCAUAAUCUUAUUCGAGUAGAAGAACCAAAUGAUCCUUACUUGGAUGAGGUUGAUGCUGAGAUGUGAAGAGUACAACAUGAGAUUGAUGAUGAAGAAGAAGAUGAAAUGGAAAAUGAAGAUGAGGAAGAUGGAAUGGAAGAUAAUGGUCCAAAUAAUGAUGGUGGCAUAAGAAUGUCCAUUCUGCUUGUAAACAUGUGAUUGUUGACUUUUACAUUUUUGCUGGACUGAUCGUGACCUAUACUUUCUUUAGGUGGAUUGUGAGGUAAUUUGCUUUUAUCAUUUGAAUCUUGCUUUCAGGUCUCUGAGUUUGCAACUUAAAGGUGCAAAACAUGUUGUAUAUGGCUUGAUGUUUGUUUGGUGUCGAUAGACAACUAGACCCUUAAAUAUAUCAACAAGUUGUGAGAAUAUAAGAUCUUCAGCAUUCUUUGCAAAAGGUCGAAAACGCUCUCUUGCAGGGACUGGAGCAACUUCACUUGUGCAACCAUGAACCAUGUGAUUAAUAUCAGAUUAUUUCACUGGAUUUACAUAUGGGUUUAUGCAUGCAUAAUAUCUGUUUAUGCAUGUGGAUUUGUGUACGUUUGGCAACACACCUUUCUGCUGAUAAUUUUCUCUUUAAAAAUCAACGAAUUGCACAAGAUGAGAUAUUUAUGGUUUGUUGGUAACAAGUGAUGCAGGUUUUUGUUCAAAACUGUUCUUGAAGUUUUGGGUCAAACGUGUCUGCAUGAAAAGGCAUGUUAAUGUGGUCUUGUUAAGAGAUACUUUAGACUUCAUACUUUCUUGUUUUCAUUUUGUGAAUAGUUACUUUCUUGUUCAUCCUUAUGCAGAAGCUUUACUUACAUACACAAUGAACUUUAUCUUGUUGUCUUACAUACCCCAAUUAGUUUUUUAUCUAAUAUAAUUUAAUUAAGAAUAAAGGAAACAAGAGUAAUACUAUAUUUUUUUUCUAGAAAAGGAACUAAUUGGUUUUUUUCUUUAAAGCUUUAAUAACAAUUGGUUAAAUGCAAGAAAAAUAAAUUAUUAAAGGCACUAAUUGAUUUUUUCCUUGAAACUUUAGUAACAAUUAGCUAAAUGUUUAAAAAAUUAUUCCAUAUGAAAAAGAAAAAAAUAAAAUUUUUAUGUAAGCAAAUGUUAGAUGGAAACAAUUCUAAUUCUUAAUGAAUUCUUCUCGCAUCCAAAUUAACAAAGAAUUUGGAAUUCCAAAUGAAUUCUGUAUCAAUUCUAUGCAUUUCCCAAACAAAAGAAUUCCAACGUUUUGGAAUUCCAAUUCCUAGAAUUCUAAUUCUACAAAAUUGGAAUUGAAAUUCUAUAGAAUUAGAUGUGAGCUCACUGAAAAUGCGAGCUCACUGAGCUCGCAUUCUGAAAAUACGAGCUCACUGAGCUCGCAUUCCCGGAAUGCGCUCACAUUGAGCUCGCAUCCUCGCACUACAUACCGCCAAGACCCAUUUCGAAAAAAAAAAAAGACAAAAGUGAGUGGGAGAAGCAGAACGCAAUAUCGAAACAUAGCUGCCGAACAUCAAAACAAAGAUUUCGGAAUUGUCGAACAGCAAAACAAAGAAAAUAAAUAACAUGCACUUCAUAAAAAUAACUUAUAUAAUUUUUUUAAAUAACAUUGCGUUGUGAAAUUUCUAAAAUUACAGUUGAAAUUGUAACAGAUAUUAAUGACUAUUAACUAUUAGAUUCUUAUAACUAAAAUUCGUCGGUGUCAACAAAUAAAUACGAUUCAUUAAUAACAAAGGAAAAUUAGAAUUUGAUAAAAAAAUUUAUUGAGGGCCCAAAAAUUUAUUUGAUAAAUACAAUUUUUGGAGGUCAAAUUUAUCAAAUGCGAGCUAUUUGAAAAAUUUUAUUUAGCUCUUACUAUUUUCUGGAAAAAAUUUAAUGAGAGCCCAAAAAAAAAAAAAAAUAUCAGGGUGAGCUCUAUUGAGCUCGCAUUUGUGGAAUGCGAGCUCAAUAAGCAGAGCUCGCAUUCGCAAAAUGCGAAGACCCCCCCUACGGAAUACCCAAUCAAAAUCACCCCUUUUGUAGAAUUUUUUUAAAAUUCAUCACAAAAUUAGAAAUUUCUCCUGCAUUUUCCCCCCAAGACGUAGAUAUCUUACUGUUACAUGUCUUCUGAUUCCAGGCUAAUCUAUGCGGGGCUGCUGUUUCUUCUCCCUCUGCUAAGGACUUAAAAGCAGACGGGAAACGCAAUGUGGUGUACAAACCUACGGCCAAGCUCGUCUCCAAGACAACAGUUUCUGUCUUGGCAAAUAUGGUCAGCAUUCAAUAUUCACACCAUUGGAAUUACAGGGCUGCCAACUUCCCCUCUCCCUGUCUGUGCAUGUGUGAGGAUCAUGGCAUAACUCUAAACUGCAUCAUAAAUGUAUUACAAGUUAGUCAUUUAGAUCUAUGUUAGCAUUCUCCAGAAAUCUAUCUUGACAAGCAUGGCUAGUGAAACUAUUCUUUUAAAUUCUUGUCCAUCUGUGGAGUCCGGACUUAGUUAUAUAUUGGUGUAAGCUAAUGGUCCCAUCAAUAGCGAGAAGAUGGCACUAACCUGUAAUUAAACAUGAUAGGCUGAGGAAUUACUGGGAUAGGAGAUGUUUAAACGCCAGAAGCAGAGGCAAUUAAGGAGUACUACUAGUUAGUAUUGGGAAUCAAGCUAAAAGCAAGAGAUAGAAAAUCAAGAGAUGAAUAAAAUGAUAGUACUAGUAGUAUUAUUAGUUUACUUCCAACCAAAGGUGGUUUUUCCAAAAGCCUCAUAAUCAAUAAAAAAAUGCCCAAGUACCCAAAGAAAUGCGGUAAGCAGAUCAUUUUACAGUUCAAAGAAGCAAUCUUGAUUCUUAGAAGUACAAACAUCAAUAUAAAUUUCUUCUGCAACUCCACAUGUAAGAGAAAGAAAGAAAUGUUUAGAGCAACAAUAAUCAAAUUGAAAGACGUAAACACACAAAUAUAUUGGAUGAGAUAUAAUUCACUAUAAUAGAUUUUUUCCACAACAUCAGCAUCACCUUCUACUUUCUACAUUUAUUUAAUUGCAAGGUAAACUGACAAAUUUUAGCAGCUAACUUGUACAUAAGUACCCUCAAAUCCUAAACAUUCAGGCAUUAUUCCGAAAAGGUUCCAAGCCAAACUUUGACUAAUUAACUAAGACUCAAACAAACAAGACACUCGAAACCAAAGACCAACUUGUUCUUUUGUUCACAUAACAGUGUAAAUUAUAAGCUUAAUAUAAUAAUAAUAACCGUAUAGAAUCAAUACCACAAAUUAUAAAAAAAAAACCCCUAAAAAAAUGUUUAAUUGGCAAAAAUUAAAUUUUGAUGUUACCUUCGUAAGCUCUAAAUCUAUCUGGAAAAUCUGGAAUAGUAGGGAGAGAGUAAUUAGCGAUCCAGGAGAGGAAGCAUGAGAGAAUGCACGGUGACGACAAAUGUAGGCAACACCAGGCCAGCGGAGGUGGAGGCACAAGUCAACACAAAGAGGGGAAGGAAAAAACUGAUAGAAACUAAUUGGAACCCCAUAAUUUCAACUUGAGUUGUGCAAAAGGCAGGGAGUGGGGCAUGGAAGGGUGGAGGCGGCAGCAAAAGUGCCUCUAUCAACGUAAUUGGAGGAGGAGGCGGCGGCGACGAAGAAUGCUCCAUCAGAGCUUCUGAUAUGGCGAUCGAUAAUUGAAAGGGAAGGAGAGAGGUUUGCGUUUUUUCCAUCCGUUUUAUAGUUGACCCAUUUUUGAGUUUUUACUCGUACAAGACCCGCGUGUCGACCCGAUUAGGAAUUCAGCUAUGGAAUUGGAAUUAUAAUUCUUUUGGUCCGGCAAAGAAUUGAGAUUGUGGAAUUGGAACCUCUUGGAAUUAGAAUUCAAUGCUAAUUCUAUGGAAAAUGCAGCGUCCAAAUACAAGAAUUAGAAUUGGGGUUCCAAUUCCAAUUCUAAACCCCAAUUCUAUGGGAUACCAAACGCACCCUUAGAGUCUUUCGUAGAAUCUAUAUCUAUAUAAAUUUGAGAAGGAAUUUUUAGCAACAAACCUUCACAAACCUUCUCACUCUCAACUCUAUUUUUCUAGCAUUUUACAUUUAAUUUAUUUCGUAAAAAAAUAUCAUGGGCACGUUACACCCCUCACGUUUCCCUCAAACAAGAAGUUAACUCCAACUAACACUCCCACGUUUCCCUCAAACAAGAAGUUAACUCCCACCAAUACUCCUUACACACCUUACUCCAACUAACACUCCUCACCCACUUUCCCACUACAAUAAACAUUUUCACAGAUCAUCUCCAUGAAGGCAAGGUAUACUGGUUUCAAAAUAUAUAUGUAAUUCCGGCAAAUCUUAAAUAUCGGCUUGCAUCACAUCAGUACCAAUUAUCAUUUGGAAACGAUAUGAAGAUAGUGAAUAUUUUAGAUGAUUGUGGAACCAUACCCCGUUUCAAGUUUAAUCUGGUCAAACUAUGAGAUACAGAACAACACAUGGACAAUGAUUUACAAUUGAUAGGUAUUUCAUUCUUCAUUAACCAUACUUCUAUUUAAGUUGCAUAUUUGAACUGGUAUUACUUAUACUUUUUGAUCUUUUGCAAAUGUAAUUGGUUUAGUUGUAUCUGUUGGUUCACACUAUCAAACAUCUAUCAAUAACAAAACUAAGUGUGACAUACUUUUACUUGACAAAAGGUUAGUUAAUAGAUUCAAUAUCUUUAAAAUAUUUUAUAUUCUGCAAAUUUUGAUUGAUACUUACCAAAAUUCUCUAAAUGAAGUUUGACAGUAGUUCGGUUGACUUUAUGUGAUAAAUUUGCAACUAAUGAUGGUGAACACUUGCAUCAAACUGUUAUAAAAAAUAAUAUUUUGCUAGCCUGUGGUAUUUGUGUGAGAAAUUAUAAAGGUAAUUCAAUUUAUUUUCACUUUAUUUUAUUUUAUUUUAUAGUUUAUCAAUAAUAUAGCACAUUGUGCAGGACCGUCACUUUAUACUAUUCGAGCAAGCAAAUUGUAUGUCAAUUACUACUUAGAUUUUGCUCAAUACCUAUACAGUUGGUAAAUUUUACAAAUACCAAAAUAUUAAAUUAUUAAUAAUAUUUCAUACCCUUACGAAUAUGUAUUUGAAAAAUUUGCAGGUUUGAGAAUGAUAAAUGUGCUCAGAAAUUAGUGACGUGGUUGCGGUCAUGCAAAUUUACAAUGUCCCAAGCAUCGUUGAUAUCAAAUGCUAAGAGAAUAUGGAUAUUCGAAUAUACAGUUCUACUUACGAUACAAUUCCUCUCAAUUAAUUAAGUGAUGAACAAGUAUCUAUAUGUAGUUUCGAAUUAAUAAUUGUAAUCUAUACAUUCUUUGGAUGGUUUUAGGUUAAAUAUUUUCGGAUACUUGCUUACAUUCAAAGUAUCAAUAUGGAUAAUAUGUUCCAUGAGUUAUGCAAAAAUUGUGGACAAUCAUGUCAAUCUCAUUUUGCAAAAAUGGUGUGUAUCCAUUGUUAUAAUGUAGUCGACAUUAUUGUCAGGUAAUUAUUUUCAUAUAUUUUAAAUUUUAAUAUAAUUUUUUGCAUGAUACAUCAUAAUUUCUUCUUAACAGAUACAAUGUUAACAUAGAAGUUAGAAAUUCCAGUGGUAACCUAUACCUCACUCUUCAAGACAAGCAUGCACGAUUCAUAUUUCGUUGUGAUGCUUCUUAUCUUAGAGAUUUAAAAACAAAGGUAUACAUUAUUUAUAUGUAUAUAUUUUUAUAUAAUAUUAUUUACAAACUGUCUAAAACAAAAUAUAAUUUUGAAUUAUGUAUGCUUUUAAUUGUCAGGAAAAUAGAGGUGCAUUGUUUGACCAACACAUUAAUUCAUGCAAAAAUCGUGAAUUCUCAUUUAUAGUACGAACUCCACAAAAAUCAACAAAAUUAAUUAAAUCCCCAAUACUGGCGUUCGUACUCAGAGGUGAUUGGUGUGAAAAAUGUUUACACCUUCGUAGAAGAUUAUCAAAUCAGAGGCAAAAUAUUUGUAAGUAUUUCAUUUACUUAUCAAAUUAAAUAUUCAAUUAUAUUUAAUUGGACCCUUAUGUCACUCAAUCUAUGAUAUAGACUUCUAUUUUUUUUUUCAGGAUCCAACAUUUAUCAAAGUGAUAGUUUAUAAAUAAUGGAGAUGUUUUUAUCAUAUAUUGAACUAUUGUUACAAAGUUUCAUUUUUUAAAUAUACUUUCAUAUGCCCGUGAUUAUUAUAUUUUACUUUUUUUUUAAAAUUUCUCUAUAGAUUGUAAUUUUUUUUCAAAAAUAUAAUCUACUGUGCAUAGCACGGGUAUUUAUACUAGUAAGAGUAAAUUAGAUGGUUAUUGUUAUAGGCAAAAAAAAAAAAAAAGAGCUAAUCAACUUGCUACUCAAUCACUUUAUCAUUAGGGAGUAUUGAUUCUUCGUUUUGACUUUUGACAUUUUGAGUACUCAAUUCUUGAAUUUUGACAUUUGUCUCUUGAAUUUCGACAUUACUCAAGCAUUACCAAAAGUAAAAGUUUAGACACUUGCAUUACCUUCAAGCUCUCUUAUUUCAACUUUCUGCCCAUACAACAUGAAAUCUCCCAAAGGAAAAAAUAAGAAAAAAGAGAGAAAAAAAAACCAACCUUAUUAAAAUGCAAUAGCUCAAGAACCUACAUUAAAUUCUUAUCUCACUCUAAUUACACAUUGUUCGCUUCUUUUUUUUUUUCCUGUCAUUAAAAUUAUUGGAUAUUUAGUUUAUUUUUUGCUACUAGUUUAUUAUUUGCUCACGUGCAAAUGUCAAACAAAUGCUUCGCCCAAUAGGGCUUAAUUGAAAAAAAAAACACUAAAAUAAAGAAAGAAGUGAAAGAAAGAGAUUUAAAAUGUAAAGAAAUGUGGAUGCUCAAAUGUUUUCUUCUUGUGCCAAAUUCAAUAAUUGGCCGAUGCUUGCAGAAAACAUCUGAAAGGGAUGAGCAUCCUCCAUCGAUUUCACCUGCAUAAAACAAAACAAUGGAUAAACACAAGGUAAAACGCAUUCCUAAAUCCUAGAGAAUUCUGUACUGAUUAAAUUAUCUGCAUGAACCUGCAGUCUACGGUCUGGUUUCUGCCUAGCAAAAGGUGGAGAACCCUAAAUCUCCAUUCUCUACUUUCAUGGAAGGGCCACCAACAGUCACUGCCACAGGUCAGAUAUUUACACCAAGCAUGCAAUUUAGGACACAUUUUCAACAUAAAGCAGAAGCUCGAUAUUUCCCUACAAUAUUCCACAAGCAGAACCCCAAGAAAACCAGCAACAAAUGUGACAGGUAAUGAAUCACAAACAGCCUUUCAAGUAGGCAGUAAAAUUUUGAAUAAUGUAUCAAAGAUUAUCCCCAGAAUUCAAUGCAGAAAAGAAAAAUGAAAGGUCUGUAGUUGAUCACUGCCAGUUUUCUGCACUUGUUCUAAAACAUUAAACAAAGAAGAAACAAUCAUGUGUAAACUUCAGUCCACUGCAUACGUCAAGAAGCACCGUUGGUUUUGUCUAGCUGUGUGACACGCGAAUAAACAUUUCCCCAUUCAGUCCUUUCAGAUUUGGGUACAGUUGCAUUGCUGAAAGUAGGUAGCCAAUCAUCAGGGCAAUCAUUUGCCUGAACCCACGUGAGAGACCGUGGUGGGUUUCGGAAGUCAAAGUUCAUAUCAGAAAAGUCUCUAAUGUUUGAUUUGGAUUUCUUUUUCUGGUGAUCUGAAGGGUUACCAGAAGCCUGCUUGGAUGUCUUUUUCCUUUGAUCGGAAGGGCCAUCAGAAGGCUGCAAAACAAAUCAAACAGUUUCAUUUUCUUCAUAAAAGCACACACAUGUAUGCCAAAUUAUGAUGAGAUAAUUUAGUGUUUUGAGGGCUGUGGUAUACUAUCAAUAUGACUGAAGGAAGAUUGUCACCAAACCAAACAUUUAUGCCUGACCGUAGCAUUAGCAUCAGAUUUCAACUUUUUCUUGCGCCUGCUUCCUGUCUCCAGGAAUUCGAGGACCUCGACCUUUGAUCGGAAUUUUAGCCCUGAUGGCGAAAAGAAAUACUGCACAAUAAAAACCACAAAUUGGUAUUAUUAAAGCGCCAUAGAUCAACUUCCAGGCACUUUGCUGAAUAGGCAUAAUACAAUUUGCAUAUUUGUACAGAAUCAUCAGAGCGCCAGGAAAGGCAGUAAAACAAACUAAUGACAAAGUCAACAACAAAAUUGACAUCCCCUACAAUGCAAACUCCUGAGAUGUUAUUGCAGAAAAACUAUGAAUAUGUAAAAACUCCACUUAACUUAGUGCAGAAAAACUAUGAGUGCUCAAUCAAACUGCUAAAAAUAAGAAUACCCAUACUUCACUCAAUAUAGCAGACACACAAACAACUUUAUUUGCAGAUGCGGUUGACCAAGAUUGACUACAACAAUCAACAGCCUAUAACUAGCUGAAUCUAGCUAACAUUUUAAAAUAGCCUGGAUGCACAGAGAUAUAUGCCAAUGUUCAGAGAAACAAAUGAGAAGAGUAUGCAAUUGGCCACCCAGCAGGCAUUCGUGUGAAACCAUUACUAUCUUCUAGGAACACCACAUGGGGAUCUAUCGUUGCAUGAAAAAUAUCUUCUCACAAAUAAAAGAUUAAGAGCAUAUUCAAAGAUUUUGAGCAAAUAUUCCCACAAAUUUUAACUACUAAAUCGCAUGUUAAAAAAAACCAAUAGCAGAUCUAAUGCCAUAAACCUCUUCCGUUGCAUGACUGUUAAUGCAAUUUAUAUGUCCAAAGUAUUUUAAUACACACCGUUUAGCCACCCAAGUCACUUGGCCUUCAAAAGUUGCAUGCUGCCACAAUGAAAUGCUCAUGUCAACCGUGAAUUAUUGACCAAAAUGAAUGUGCAAAUAAUUUAACAGGUAAAGCCGAUAGCCAAACAGGAGAAACUCUCAACACCAAUGAUGGGAAACUAGAAAAACACGAUAGCCACUACUAAGACAAGAAAGAAUAAAGGAAAGGAAGGAAACCGUAAAGCUCACAUCAACAACCCUAUCAGAAUUAUCUUAGGAAAAAACAGUGGAAGUAUUCCAUAUAGAAGACAACCUCCAAAACCAUAACCCUGCCUUUCUAAUCAAUUUUGGAGGGAAAAUCACAAGCAUAUCCUUUCAAAACUUUUAUAAAUUUUGAUCAAGGUCAUUUAUUUUCUAGAUGCAGAGCCAGUCUUCACAUCGCUAAACAGUUAAAAACAGAAAGAGUCUUGAGCAGAACUUACAUAUAAGUCCUCCUAAACAGUUACCAAUGAGGUGGAACUGAUCUCCUACUUUCACUUGACGACACCCACCAGAAUUAGAAAUGAACAACCUAAAGAUAACAUGUAUCUACAUAUAGAAGUCAACUAACAGAAGAAAUUACUUUGUCAGUGUUGCCAGCAGUUUUACCGGCAGUACGGACUUUCCAUGUGAACCCCCAGUCCAGCGGCAGCCAGUCUGGUCUCACCACCAAUGCAGUGCAACCCUUCCUAGCUUGAGGACCCAUCUUUGUUAGCUGUUGCAACAUCAGAGUUGCAGGUGCAGUUUCCAACAUAGAACCAAUCUUCAUUUGCCCCUCAGCAUGGUACAAAGUUUCAUUAUACAUGCCAUUAUCACCAACAGAUUCAUGACCGACAAAUUCAUGAGACCCACCUUGGUUUAGUUUAAGAUUACUUUCUUUAUCAUCAUGAGAUUUUUCCCUAGGUAACUCGAUCUGCUCCUCGGGAGAAGCAUUGAGGUCAAUCAAGGCCUUAUCAUUCAAGGGAGGUGCUACAAAAUGGUAGCUGUGUGAAAAGCGGUCAGCCAUGUUGGAGAGUUGUGAAGCUCUAAAUCUAUCAGAAACUUAGAGAUGGGUUCCAGAAAGCGAUGAGUUUGAUUGACAGCUACAGGAUCAGAAUGGCAACUCUUGGACCAAGCACAAUGCAGUGAAUUAAAGAUAUGCGAUAAAUGGGCAUUUAUGUUGCAAUAAAAAGAGAAUCUAGGACUGGAUAUCGGUCGGAAUACAAUGACUUCAUGAUUUUUGCUUGUCAUCCAUCACAGCACAUCAAUAACCAUGAAAAACAUACGUAUACAAGCGAGUGUAAAAAGAAAAACAGUCAAUGAGAAAAUUUUCACAAAGAAAUCAGUCAUCUUUCAUCUUCUUACCAUAUUUAUUCAGUUAAUGCUUACCUUAAUGCAACUUCAACUUUUAUGCUUAUUUCAAUCUUAUCAUAUUCAAUGUGUCCUAAAAUCUUGCAAGCCUGAUGAAAAGUAUCCAGUAACCUCAUAAUGGGAGUGAUUUUUCUCUUUAUUGCGAUCAGUAUUCUCAUACUUACCCCAUAUUUUGCAAGGGACUCUAAAAUGUUAAUAACGAGUUGUGGAUAAUCCAUAACUCAUCAAGAAAUUUAAAAAAAAAAUGUAUAUAACAAGAUCUCAAUAAUUUCAACUAUCACAAGUAAGAACAUUCUAGUUGUCUCAGCAAAGAACUCAAGUAUGAGUCUUCUUUCACUUUUUCUUAGGCACAUUUUACAUCUAACCAGAGAUUGCAACAACAACUAAACCUGAAGACAAAUUUUUUGUGCAAUUUAACCUCCUAGAUAGAAACUUGCAAGGGAAGAAACAAAAAAACAUGAAGGCAAAAGGGGGAGAACAAGAAGCUUUCAACCAAAGGAACUACCUUAAAAAAAGAAGUUCAAAUAAACCAAAUACUCAGGAGAUUUCUUCAGCUUCUGGAAAUAGAUAAAUCUAUGGCUUAAUGAUAUCCACAAGUAUUCUAGAACAGCUUUACCAAAGUCACAUUAAGUUUAGUGUGGCAGCUUUUUAACCCCUCGAAGUCAAAAAGUUUAAAGGACUUAUGGCUUCAAUAAUAAAUUUCCUCCACAAAUAGAUUUGAGGUAUUUUACUUCAAAUGACAAGGUUACAAGUAUUCCACUGAGCUAGAUAUAUUUAUUUAUGGUUUGUCUUACAUUCUUAUCAAAUAGAUUUCAAAGAUUUCUUGACAGGAUUGUAGAACAAAUGACAUUUCAGUUGAUAUUCAGCUAUUUAAAAAGAUAUAAUCACUUGUAAAGCAUUUUGGUUGGCCUUAACUACUUCUUACAUACAUAUACCCAAAUACAGGAAGAAAGGGAGUAUCAAAGAGAGAUUGCAUCCUAGGUUCUAUAAGAUACCACAAAGAAAGUCUUUGGAUUAAAGUAACUGUGAUCAUCCUUGUAAGUUAGUAGUAAGUAUGCCAUCAACUCUGCUUUUUAAACAGAGAUAUCUUGCAAAAUCCCAUUAAGUAAUGAUUUUGAGAAUGGUUGAGCACCAUAGUAAUAAAAGGCACCAAAAUUAGCACAAAAAUCAGCAAAUUGCAAAGUGAUAAUGUUGAGAAAAAAAUGUAUGCAUUUUGAACUAGAUGUAUACAACAGAGUUUCAUAGCUUCACUUCAUAUUAUGAGUUUAAAAAUACUAAAAAAAAAAAAAACAAAGGCACAGGUGGAAGGAAAUGGAUAAAUCCUUUGCUACCAGAUUUAACAUUAACAAGAACUUAGUUCACAGGAAAAAUAAGUUUGACUAUCUUUCAAUCUCCUAUGCUGCUAUGCAUCAAACAUAUCAAGAAAUUGCGGUCAACCUUUGCAGCUGCAAAACACAAGUGCAUUCCACUAAAACUCUUCCAAGUUCUAAUAUAAAAAUAAUUGGCUUCAUUCAAUGGCAAAUUAGGUAAAAUUUGCAGUGUUAUAUGCAAUGUCAUUAACAUUUGUGUGAAUUUAAAAUAAUAAACUACAUUGACAGUGACCACAGAUGGUCACAAAGAACAAAAUUUAUCAGCAAUAAUUGGUAAUAGAUAAAGAAGUAUGCACUUAAUGGCUAACUAGCAAAAAACACCAAAAUCACAUCUCUUAACUACUCCAAGAAAAGUCCCCCCCCCCCCCAACCAAAACACACACACCAAAAAAAAAAGGUCAUUGAUGCGAGCCCGCCUAGCACAAAAUUUGCAGUUAUGAAGGCUUACAGAUGAGUCCUAAGAUUCCUGAUUACACCUUAUUUCUCGCAGGUUCUUGUGUCAACUAAAACACCAAAAAUAACACGCUACUACUAAAGUUCAAAGAGAGAGAGAGAGAGAAGUCCAAAAAUUAACUCAACAGUGACCAUUGCAAUUAACUGCAAUGUUAUGGAGGCAAAAAUUUCCAUCCUCAAUAUCCACAAUACAACUAUCGAUACAAAGCUACUACAUUUCACCUAAAACACAAACACAACCAAAAAAAAACAAAUUUAAUAAUAGCUUCUAAACAAAAGUGAAAGAUAUUGUCUGGAGAGAGAGAGAGAGAGAAUUACUCUGUCAGAUGUUCCAGCAGUGGCGCCGGAGGUUCGGACUCUCACUUCUAUCUUCCAAUCGUCCGGCAACCAGUCAGGCCGCUCCGCCAUCUCCUCUACUGGUCUUCUCGGCCGCCGUUGUGACAGUGGAGUUACUUCUAUAGCAACAGAGGCCAUAGGAGUGGCUGAAGGUUUGGUACUGGUUUCCGCCGGGGCAGGCUUUUCCUCUGCUGAUGCUGCGUCGUCGACCUUCUGGUCGGGGUCGAUAAACCAACCGGUUUCUAGCAGCGGGUCGGGAAGUAUUUGAUCGUUCAAGGCUAUGUCCGGGUCGACCAGGUUGGAGCCUUGAACCGGAUUUUGUAGGCCCGAGAAAAUGGGCUCGGACAUUUGGGUCGAAAGAGUUGUAUGCCGGGAGGGAAGACGGGCGUGAGAAUUUAAAUCAAAUUCCGCCUACCGGCUGAUUAAAAAAAAAAAAAAAAAAAAAUUGGCUAAGGUUUGUUUAAUAGAUGAAUGGUUUUUUCUAGCUAAGGUUAAAACAAACUAACUAAGCUUCAUUAAAUAAUGAUUUUUUCAAAAUAUCCGUUUGAAUUGCUAUUUCCUAGAGUUUUCGUAGAUGAAUGUAUUGUAAUAAUUUGAUGUAUAUGAGGAAUAAAGAUAAUUGAAAUAUGUGUUGAUGAAGAAUUGUAAAAAUUUUUUGAAAAAAAAAAGACUUUCCAAACAUAUGAUUUAUGUGUCAUAAAACUUUGAUCUUAUCGCCACUCUUAAAUAGUGAUCACUUCAACCUCUAGUAUAUUUAUACAUUUUUAGACAAGAAAAUAUAAGAUCCUCAUCCGCAAGACUCAAAAUUGUUGAUGAAUAAAUAGUAUAUAUUUAGAACUAAACUCUUUCGCAAAAUAUUGAAAAUUUUAGAGAAUUGUAGAAGGGCAUACCAUGUUUGAAGCUAUGAUGUCGAAAUUUGAGUUGUUCCUGUUCGUACUUUGUAGGCCUCAAGAUUUUGGAGGUGAUUGUCGAAAACAAAUUAUUUGCUGACAAAUUCAAGCAAAUCAGGAAAUCAAAAAUCUCGUUAAAUUUUAGCUUUGCUGCAAAUUUUCGCUCUUUUGAUGACUUUGCUGGCUUCACAACUUCUCUCUUUUCCUUCUCUCUGACGGAGUUUUUCAAAAUACAAUGAAUGGGUUAUUCUGUAACCUUUCCUUUUCCUACUCUAAUUUUUUUUCAAAAUAUGACAGAAGGGCAUUUUCCUAUUUCCCUAUUUAUGAGUUUCUUUUUUUUUUUUUUUGGCCUAGAAUGACAUUGUUCCAAUUAAACUUUUCAUGGCUUCAUUUACAUCAUCCAGUUGGUAGAUUUUAUCUGAACAUUAAACUUUUCGUGGCUUUAUUUACAUCGUCCAGUUGGCAGAUUUAAUCUGAACGGUAAGCUUUUCAUGGCUUCAUUUGCAUCAUCCAGUUGGUAAAUUUAAUCUGAACGGUAAGCUUUUCGUGAAAUUGUCUGAAAGGAGAAGCGAACCAAAUUAUGCGGUUAUAUUGAAUUGGAUUACAAUGGUAGAAUUUUUUAACUUCAUUCACCUGGAUGAUAUUCAAAUCAUGAAUUGACAUAUUAUUGUUUUAUACAAAUGACAAUUACACACCAAAAUCCUAUUGCAUGCUAGGAGGAGUGCCGAAAUUAUUUUUAAAGUGAAGUUCAUGCUAGCAGGAAAGUGAAAACUUCACUUGCCUUAUUUAAUGACGAUUUUAUUUGCAGUAGAUUAGGUAAUUAUCACUCUAUGGAUUGUAAAUUAUUUGAGAUAAUUUUGUAAAAAAAGUACUGUAGCACUUUUUUGAUAUGAUAUAUGUGAGAUAAAAAGGUGAUUGGAAAAUGUGUUGAUUAUACAAGCAAAUCAGUGUGUGUCAAUAAGGUGUAAAUAAAAUGUAAGUUUUUACUAUCCAAACACGGUGUUGAAUUUAUGGCUUGGGCCUUGGUGCUAUAGUCCCAAAACCAAAAAAAAAAAAACCGUAUAACACUGAAAUUAUUACAUUUGGUCACUCACAUUUUAAAGCCAUUGUAUCUUGAUCUCAAACUUUAAACAAAAAAAAAAAAAAAAAAGUUAAUAUUGAGCUCAAUACUCUAAAAUACUUAAAAUCUCAAUUUUAUUGAGGUUUCCACAGUAUAAAAUCUAUUACUGUGAUCAUAAUGGUCGCAUAAAGUACUCAGCCUAAGUAUAUAAUAUUUUGAAAUAUCAUUGAACUUUUCUUGUGUUUAAACGCUAUAUGUUUAAAUACACGCUAUCCAACGCAAACAUGUAUCUCUGUUCCUUUUUCUGUGUCAAAACACAAAAACAUAUCCCUUUUUGCAAAUUCUAAUGAAUAUUCAAUUGAUAGUUUACCAACUAUAUAUUGGAUCUUGCUCCUAGUAAUAUUAGGGCUUUUAUAUUGUGCCACAAAGGCAUAAAUUAAAGAGUGGAUUACUUUGUUGGAAAUGAUUUUUGUGCUAAAGUGUAUGUUACUCGGAGGUGGGCAAUAAUCUCUACUUUAUAAUGGACUCACUUCUUCUUCUUCUUUUUCUGUAAUUAACCCUUUGUCUAGGAAACAAAAACCAUACUAGUAUCAUUCACACAAAAAAGAAGAAAAAUAAAAAAAAAAAAGAAGAAAGGCCAAUUAAUCUUCUUAAGGUAUUAGUUUUCAUUUUCAGUUUAAACUUUAAAGUAUUUCCUGAUUUUUCAUGAAGACUAUAAACUAGUAUUCUUUAUAAUAAUAAAAAAAAAAAAAGAAAUUGCAUACAGACUAUAGUUUCAAAAAAAAAAAAAAAAAACUAGUGUUCUUAUCGAUUUUGUUUGGCUUAGUAAAUAAGUUUUCCUUACUCCGUCAACCCCAUCAAGUCGAACUCCAGAGACCUCUUCAUUCACAUUCGUACAUCAGAAUCAGGUAAAAUUAUAACUCAAUAAACCCAUAGUUAUUAUUUUUUUUAAAAUGUAUACAAGUCAAAAUACAGAGAAACGAUCACCGUAUUUGCAGUUCUUGAUUCAUACAUAAAAAGAUUAUUGUGUUUAACUUGACUGGAUUACAUAAAAAUCCCAACUUGGAUCGGUUUAUUUCUGGGUUUGGCUGAAUUCAGUGAUGUUUUGAUGGGUUUUUGGUUUAGUUGAUAAAAUAUUAUGUAGGGUUUUGUAAUUUGUUGAUUAUUGUUCGAUUAUGGCCACGGUUGUGUUGAGUUAUGUGCAAAAUUUAUGGCCUUUUUCUAUCUUGAAAGAUGAUUUGAGGGUUUCAAAUAGUUUAGUGAAGAAAUUGCCAAUACCCGAAAGCACAAAAAGGUUUGUUUAUGCUAUCCAAGAGCCUGAAUCAGGGGCCGUGAUAUAUGUUCUCUGUGUUCAGAAUUUAUCAGAAAGGUCAGCUUUAGAUGCUGAAUGCCUUAUUAAAGUGGUUAAACCUGAUGCCGUGCUCGCCCAGGUUGGUCCCUCGAUCGAGGGGAAUGAGUUUUCUAUGGAGAAAAUUGCAUCUGAAGCUUGUAGUAGCCCAGAUAGUUAUUUUAGUGCUAAGAGUGAUGAUAGGAGGGGUAAUGAGUUUCUGUUGCCAACAUCGGCAUUUGAGGUAUUAAGGAGGUGUUUUUUGCAUAAAAUUAAUAAGGAGAAGUAUGAGAAUGUGGCUGGGAGUUUGGUAUUGAGGGAGAUUUUCGGGGUCAGUUUUAAUGGUCAUUUCUUCUCGGCUAAGAGGGCUGCUGAGGAAGUUGGUGCGGCAUUCUUUUUGCUGGAGUCACCUUUUGUGAAAUGUAGUGGUGAUGGUAAAUGCUCUUCGGAGAUGGACAACGAGGAGGAGGAGGUGGUGGAGGUUGGGUUGGGAACUGGUCUUCGUGGCUUUGGUAUACAACCUAAUAGUUUGGUUCCUCAGAAAGGGAUCUCAAUGGCGUCAAUGAGUUUAAGGCGGUUUUCUGCUAUGAAUGAUGUUCAAUCCUGGAUGGUGAAGUCCUUGUCCAGAGAAUUGAGUAACUUAAGUUCUGUUCUAAAGGUGGGUUCUGAAGAUGUUCAACCCAGGGUUGAUUAUGAGGCCCCACAGUUUUCACAAUCCAUCUAUCCCUUACUCGUUGAUUUACAUGAUAUUUUUGUUGACAUCCCAUAUAUGGGCAGUGCUCUAGCUCAUGCUCAAAAGAUGCUUUCUGCUAUUAAUAAGGGAGAAGCUGUUGAUGGCCAGCUCCUUUCAGAAGUUCAUGUAUUUCGGAUUGCUGUUGAGGGAUUGCGGAUUGCUUUGAAUGAUGCAGCUCGGCUCCCUAUUAACAAAUUGGGGAACCCUCUCCCCUCUAAAUGUGAGUUUUCGGAGCUUCCAGUUCAGGAAAAGUCCCAUGCACUCAUUGCACAAGCUCUUCAAAGCCAGACUACAAAGUUCAAAUCAAUUGUAGCACUAGUUGAUGCUAAUGGCUUAGCAGGCUUGAGAAAACACUGGAAUACUCCUGUUCCAGUGGAAAUUAAGAACAUGGUUCAACAGCUGGUUACUAAUUGUGAGAAUGACAGGAAAAUACUCAGCGACAAGAAGGCGUUGCUCUCAGCAAAACCAAUAUUAGCAGUUGGGGCAGGUGCAACAGCAGUGUUAGGAGCAUCUUCCCUCUCCAAAGUCGUUCCAGCAUCAUCUUUGGUCAAGAUUUUGACCUUCAAUGUUCCUGCUUCGCUCAAACUUAUGGUGACUCAAACCUAUAAGGUUGUUGCUCUUACAUUUGGUAAAAGUGUUGGUCCUUCAAAAGUGAUCGCACCUGGAGUGGCAAGUGGAGUCAAAACGUCUUUUCUGAAGGCAGCUGCUUCUGCUGAGAAAAUUCGUGCUGUAGCUCAUAGCAUUAUAGCUUCUGUUGAGAAAACUAGCCUUUCUGCCACAAGAACUGCAUUCUAUGAAAUAAUGAGGAAACGGCACGUUCAGCCGGUUGGCUUUCUGCCAUGGGCUACCUUUGGAUGUAGUAUUGCUACUUGUGCAGGAUUGCUUAUGUAUGGAGAUGGAAUAGAAUGUGCAGUUGAAUCUGUUCCUGCCGCUCCUUCAAUUGCCAGUUUAGGGCGUGGCGUCCAAAGUCUACACCUGGCAUCUCAGGCAGUCCGGCAAGCUGAAAGCUCCAAAAUACAAAAGUCAAUAGAAUCCCUUCUUGAUAGAUUUAGGAAGAUGAAGGUUCAAUGAUGACAAUUUAACAAUAAUCUAAAGUUGCAAAUUGUUCCGACUUUAAUUUAUCCUAUAAUGGAAUACAUUAAAACGUAUGGUGUAAAUACAGUUCAGGAAGAGGUGUUUAGCAACUUGUUUUUGUAAUUCUUGUUGAUAUGUUGUCUGUAUACGAGAUUCUUAUUUGUGAUUGUGGAUGAAUAAAAGUUGGCACAAAGCUUGCACCCGAGUUCCUUGUCUCUUGAUCUUUCAAGCAGAAACUAGGAUAAGAGUUUCAGAAAUCUGUGUCACCAUUGUCAGCAAGCAUUUAUGCCAGUGUUUUUCAUUUUUGUCUUAUACGUAGCAUUUUGGUAAACACAUCAUAAGCUGUAUUACCAACUAUUUGCUUCAUCUUUCUCUCCUUUCGCUCUUCUUUUCUGCUGUGCAGUUUAACGACAUUCUGUAACGAUUACCCUGCUGCCUCAUGAUGUAUUUAGCUUGUUUCUGCCAGUAACUCCCCGUACUCUUGUCGCACUUCUUGUUUGGUUAUGGUUCUGUUUAAGUAUUUAAAGAGUAUUUUAAUCCUGAUAUAUUUCUUUCUGCAAAGAUGUACCUAUGUUAUUCCUAGGAUCUAUAUCGUAAUGUUGAAACUACAAUGGGUUUUGUAUAAAAAUCAGCAGCUUUGAUCAUGUAACAGAAUUAUGUGGUCACAAAGCAGAUCAACCUCCUGAUUAGAGUCACUGAGAACUCGAAUCAUGUAAGAUUUUAGGUAUAUCUGGAACAUUUUAGUUUUCAGACUUGAUGGUUUCGUCCCUUGUUUUUGGCUUUUCAGCUAAAUUAUCUUUGAGCUGGAUUUUACUUAUCUAGCGGUGAGAUGUCUUUUUUGGAUACAUAAUGCUCCUUCUUGAUCAACCCUGCUAAAUUGUGUUCCUUUAUUGCUACGUGGAAGUAGCUUGUCGGGCAAAAAUAUAACAAGUAGAGAAGAAGAAAAGCUAAGCAAUACCUUAUGGCUUUGUUGUUAGUGGGAGCCGUAAUCAUCCCCUUGGCCCUGUUCUGUCUUCACCUCCUGCUUCAUACAGCAAUGGUCUUGUCUGAUGGUUAGGUAUUCUUUUUGUGCACACUUUCAGAUAUUUUGUCAUUGCUUUGAUGACAAUCCUAGGUAAGGUGGAGGUUCUAAAGACCUGAACUUUAUCUUGACAACAUCUUUUGCAUCUGUGGUUUGGGGUGUUUUGUUAGAAACUGCAAGGAUUUUCUUUGAAUCCUCAUCCGUCUGUAUCGGAGCUCAACUCCAAGACCACUUAUACAGAUGUCAUGGAAUGCUGCUUUAUUUGGCAUUUCAGAACUUAUCCUGUUAAUGGUCUUUCUGAACUGGAUUGUUGCAUGAGGUACUUUUUGACCUCACCUCGUACAAUUCUAGAUGGAGAAUAUACAACAGUUUAUCUUUGUGAAUCCCAGGUAUGCUGAAAUUUCUGGACAAUCAGUAGAGUUAUACCCACUUGUGGAAGAUAGAUGGUACUUCUGAUUGGGGGAUUUCCUGAUGAAAUUAAUCAUCUUGAACCUUAAAAUUUGCAUUAUCUAGCCAUGUUUCUUAUUAGAAGUUUCAUGGAAGUUAUUUGGUUGUUUGAAAAUAGUUAUCGCAUUAACUUAACGCUAUCAAAGUUGAUUAUCAUUUUCAGGUUAUUGUUGGGAAGCUGCUGAACUCAAGAUGGAAAUUGUCUUUCCUUUCUUCUCCUCUUUUCUUUGUAGCUCAAAAGCUCUCUCUUCGUUUCAUUCCUCUACGUAACUCCCAAACUAGGCCUAAUGAAGUUCCGUUUAGAACAGCCCCUCGUCAUUAAUCGCUAUCCGUUGGUGGUUCUAGAAAUAUGAUGAAAUACUACUAGUUUGGCAAUGUAAUUGAUGUGAACUGGUGAUAGACCUUUUUGCUACCAUUUGCUUAGGUAUAAUUGGAAUCCGUACAGAUGCACAAUUGUCUAUAGUUAGAUACAAAAAAUUCACUUUCAAUUUCUAAACUUUGAGUUGGAAGAUACAUUUCGUUUCCAAAUUUUUCAACAGGACGCAUUUAAUACAUAAAUUAACAAUUUCUAGUCACGUUUAGUUCAAAAACAGUAAAUUGCUGUUUAAUCUCCAGAGCAUGAUCUUUUUAUUUGCACUCCGGAGUAUGCUCUUUUUAAUCUUCAAAUUGUAUGCCACGUGGCAGAUUUUGCUUAGUCACUCCAUUUCCUUCUCCAAACCACAAAGCACACCUUAAUACCUUGUCCCAUCACUUCCCAAUCAAUAUAAAAAGUAAAAAAGAGAAUCUAGAAAACUCUAGAGUUUAUUACAGCAACAACAAAUUAAGGCUUCGUCUGGGAGUGGAGGAUUUGGACAGAAAAGAAAGAAAAAGAAGAGAAAGUUAAAAUGGAAGAAUUUAGCAGGAAAGAAAGGAAAAGAAAUGGAAGGAUUUAAAAGGAUGAAUUAUAGUCAAAAUUUUUCCUCCCAAAAACAAAUGAGAAGAAAGUUUAAGGAAGCUUGUUAAAUUUUUUUAAAUACCUAUUUUAUUCUUAAAAAAGUUUUGAACAAAUAUUUAAUAACUUUUAUAUCUAAAAUCAUUCUACUAAUUUUUAAAACUCCCAAAUAACAUAACAGUCUCUUCUCUUCUCUUUUAUCAUAACUUAAGUUUUCCAUUCUUUUCUUUUCUAUCCUAAACUCCCAAACUAAGCCUAAGAUAAUAUUUUGUUUAGUCCAAGGUACCAUAUGCAAAGCACCGGACUAAAAUCAUCAUCUUCAACAUCAGCAGCAGAAUCAGUUUCUCUGGACAAUCAAGACACUGAAAAAACAACUGAAAAAGGCCAAAGAAUAUGGCUUUAAUUCCCACAAAUUCCCAUUCCCAGGUCAAUGAAGGACCCUUGUUUGCAGAAGUGGACAUGGGUGCUGACUCCUCUGCAACCUCUGUUCGUGCCACCGUGGUCCAGGCCUCUACCAUUUUCUAUGAUACCCCUGCCACCCUGGGUUAGUCCAAUUACUGCUUUUUCAAUGGCCCUUUUGCUAAGUAUGUUUUGUUUCUUGAAUAUCUACUGUAUCUGGAGCUUUAAUGGUGACUGAAAUCUUGGGUUUUAGUUUGUUUUCUGAGUGACCCUUUUGAUAAGUAUCUAAAUUUGUUCAUAAUCGACCCCUUCUUCUUUUGGGUUUUAGCGAAUCUCCGGGUAUUGUGAAGUCCUGAAUGAUUGGUGUAGCAGCAUAGGGUGCUUUAGGGCCCUAAAAAAUCUCAUUGUUAGUUGAAGAACUCAAUAAUUUGAACCUACAACAUCCUGCAUGCUGAUAUAUUGGAUCUCAGAUUGAUACUUGUCAGAGAAUUACAUAAUUCAAAUGCAUUUAAUUAAUUGCCUGCAGAUUUUGGUAUGCACGAAAGUAUGUCCCCAUUUUAAAGUUUUAUAAUCUAAAAUCUUUUAAAUUCUUCAGCAUCUGGACUGAAUAAAGUGGAAGCUGCAUCUGCUACUUCUUUGGGUUCAAGUUGAUGAUUGGAGGCCAUAGGAAGUCACAAGUCAACUAGCAUUGCAAUAAUUGACAGAAAAUUUGUAUAUAAACUUGAGAAACCUCUGUCAACUUAGUAUGCAUGGGAACAAUUAAGAACAUUUUUCUACAUUAAUCUCAUGUAUCAGGACCAAGCAUUCUAAACUGCACUGUGCAAAUGACAGGGAUGUAGUUUCCCACACUCACAUACAUACCUGUAUGUUGCAGAAGAAUGAUGAAAAGCAUGGCAAAAGAGCAGCUUACAAAGCAAUCUCUCUUAUCCGCUGACUAAAUGGUCAAUGUGACUGCCUAGUAAAAUUAGGAUCUCAAUAGCUUUCUAGAAGUAGUACAGAUAGACAAAUGCGAAUGGUACUGCUUGGUGUGUGUCUGCACAUGCAUAAGCUUGAGUCUUACCAUGAAUAAAGCUGUUAUUUUGAUGAAUGACACUUCCAUACAAACUGAAAAGUUUAUUUCUGCAUUUAUAAUUAUUGCUGCAGAGGGAACUUUUGUAUUUACUGGUUGUGAUAGGAUAUGCACUCUCAAUCACAAUAGCUCAAAAAUAAAAAGAAGAAGAAAGGCAUUAUCUGGGGCCUUUAUAACAGUCACUGGCUAUGAUUUUCAGCUUCCAGAACUGGUACAUGAAUUAGAGAGUUAGUUAUACAAUUCAAGAAUCUCUUAGAAAAGGAUGCAAGCUUCAUAAGCUUAGAUCUUUUUAAAUGAGCGACAUCAUAUCUUACUUGUAAUUAGUUACAAUUUUUCUGUCUAUCUUCAGAUAAAGCUGAAAGGCUGCUCGCUGAAGCAGCCUCUUAUGGUGCCCAAUUGGUUGUAUUUCCUGAAGCGUUUAUUGGUGGCUAUCCUCGUGGAUCAAAUUUUGGUGUUACAGUUGGUAAUCGUACAGCAAAGGGUAAGGAAGACUUCCGGAAAUAUCAUGCUGCAGCCAUAGAUGUGCCUGGUAAGAGCUUAUGCCUAUUUUUCUUCUGCAAGCAGAUGAUUAGAAUAAAGAAAUAAAACAACAGAAGAUAAAAACAUAAAAAGAUAUAAAAAAGGAGAUGACAGUUUUUUCUUUCUUGCUUCCCUUUGCCUCAAUGCGCGCAUUUGAUUUUUUUAACAAGCAGUGUCGUAAGCAGGACUUUCUUUCUGGUCAAGAGUUAAAAGAGCAUUCUUCAUGCUCCUUCUUGAUGAUGCUGGAUUUACUUUUAGUAGAUGGGAUACAAGUGAAGAGCAAGGGAUACUCUUAUCAAUGCUAGAGGAAAUAAAUGUAUAUUUUGCCCUCAUAUUGUUGUGUGCUGCGGAAUAUAGCUGUCAAGAAGACAUGGAAAGUCUAAUUUUCACCUAUACUGCACUCAUAACUUCAAAGUGCACCAGCACUUAAAUGAGAUAUAUGUUACUUCUGAUAGAUAUCACUGAGGGGCAUUUGAUUGCAGGAUUGUGGCUGCAAGAACUGACCAUUUUAGGAUUAAUAGUGGCAGAAGCAUCUUGCAUUCAAGUUUAACAUGUUUGAGGGAUAUUAAUUGCCACAUGUUGAGCUGUGGGAUACUUGGUUGGAGCCUCUAAUUGGUUAUGUUUUUAACAAGUCAUAGUGCCCACUCUGUUCCAAGGACUAAAGGGUGGUUGAUAAGAAAAUAAUCAUCCUAUUUCGAGUUCAGCUUGAUUUUGUUUGGAUCAUAUUCAUGGGCUGAAGAAGCAUGUUUGCUUCCGUUUUCUGUUUGGCUGUCAUUUUGCUUUGCUAUACUAUUAGAAGAAUUUGUUCUGCUCUUCUUGGUCCACCAUUCUUUGCAUAAUCCUAACAUUGGCUCCAUAUACCAAAAAGUUCCAGUAUCCUCUCAAGCCAUGUUGCUAGUGAUGCUAGAUGGUUUGAUCUAUCUUACUGGAUCCAUUAUUGUGUCAAGUACAUUAUUAAAAACACAAAACUUUGUCUUUUUCUUGCAUGUUGACUCUUCAAUUUCGUUGUUUUAUAUUUUUCAGAGGGAAACCACAGGUAAGGAGAAUUAAUUUGAUGACUGACAUUACCAAAAUAAGCUAUUUUUGGAAGAACCAAUUUCCGCGUACAGAACUUAUGUUGAUAAUAUUGAGAUACUAAAGUAGUGGCCUUAAUUGACAAAAUUGGACAAUUCUAUGGAAAUUGAUUCAGAAGCAUAAAGUUUGUGAUUGUGUUUCUUGUUCUUAUAUACUUUUUGACUGUCAGUUUCUUAGUGAUUGUUCUAUAAGAUAGAAGUUAGGUUAUCUUCAUGUUAAUAGAACUUGUUUUUUGUGAUUCAGGUCCUGAAGUUGAUCGUUUGGCUGCCAUGGCUGGAAAAUAUAAAGUGUAUUUAGUGAUGGGUGUGAUUGAGAGAGAGGGAUACACACUCUACUGUACAGUACUGUUUUUUGACUCUCAAGGUCGUUACCUUGGAAAGCACCGUAAAGUCAUGCCAACAGCUUUGGAAAGAGUAAUCUGGGGAUUUGGAGAUGGAUCUACAAUUCCAGUUUUUGAGACACCAAUUGGAAAAAUAGGUGCUGCAAUAUGUUGGGAAAAUAAAAUGCCACUACUAAGGAUGGCAAUGUAUGCUAAAGGUAAUUUGCCUUUCAAUCUUAGUAUAAACAGAAAAUAGUAGAUUUUAUCCUUUCUGGCACUUUGCAUGUCUGUCCUUACAGUGCAGUCAGGAUUUCUUGUCUAACUUUUUGUGGUUUAGGAUCAUCCUUUCGGCAAUAUAACGUAAAAAACUGAAUGUCAUGUUUCGACAUCUUCCAGGCUGAGCGUGUUAUUCUAUUGUACAUUUAUUUCUUUAAAAUUAUACUUUUCUCUUUCUUUCUUUUUCUUAUUAAAAUGAGAACUUGGUUCAAAUUACAUCCAUCUUCCAAUCUGUUUCAAGUAAUUUUCCAGUUAGCAUAUUGAGAGAGAGGGAGAGAGAGGGAGAGGUGUUAAAUGAGCUUGUGCAGAUGCGGCAGUUGAAGGAUUUCAUUUGUCUAGCUUUUUGUGUACAUGAGCAUGGCAUGUUGUGCUUUUUCAAGUAAUUUUCCAGAUGCAUGCAUUGUACAAAAUCCUCUUUUGGAGUCCACUUGGACUCUUGUCAUUUCUUAUCUAAAAGUUGGUCCUGAUAUUCUCUGGACUUGUAAGGUGGGUUGAAUAAGCCCUAUUAUCAUAUGGGUCAAUUAAAUGUCAUUUCGCUACUACUGUUGUUGGUGUACACCGCAACUUUUACUUCUGGACUUCCAUAGUUGAGAUGAUAGUCAUUGACUGUUAAUUUCUACUGCUCUUUCGCGAAUUUGAAUCUAAUCAUUUCUCUGUUUGCAUUUGAAAUUCUUAGAUUGUUUCUUGUACUAGAUGUUCCAAAUGUUUGUUUAGUGUCAUCUGCUAUCUCUAGUAACAUCAGGUUCACUAUUAAAUCCACGAUAUUGGAAUAAUGGAAUAUUUUACAUCUGAUCACAACCACUGGAAAUUUGUGAUGCUAUGUACAUUUUUUGUGAAAGAUAAUUGACUACAGCUUAAUCUGUCAAAUUUCUACUGUAAUCACUAAUGUUUUCUUUUGUGGGAUUGGUUCAAGUUCUACCCCUGCUUAAUCAACACAUUUCCGUUGGAUUGUUGAUGCGAUUGCUGAUGUUCUUCCAUUGCUUAUAGGCAUUGAAAUAUAUUGUGCACCUACUGCUGAUUCGAGAGAUGUAUGGCAAGCAUCAAUGACUCAUAUUGCUCUUGAGGGUGGAUGUUUUGUUUUAUCUGCCAACCAGUUCUGCCGAAGGAAAGAUUACCCACCUCCGCCUGAAUAUCUCUUUUUAGGCACUGAAGAAGAUCCUGACUCUGUUGUUUGUGCUGGUGGAAGUGUUAUAAUUUCACCAUCAGGGACUGUGCUUGCUGGACCAAACUAUGAAGGGGAAGCACUCAUCUCUGCAGAUCUGGGUAUGUUAUGGUUUGUUGAACUUCUAACCGAAUGCAAAAGCUCUAUUUUAUGUGGGGUAAAAAUGAAUAUGAAUUUCUUACCACCUUGUGUCCUUUUUAGGUUUCAUUUGUUUUCCCUGUAUGUGAACUCAAACAAGUAACCUUCAUACUAUGUGAAGUGACAUUUGCUUUCUUAUAUACUUUUUCAGUGGCUGAAUUUCCCUUUCUCUACAACUUUAGGACCGCUUCCCAUUGUGAAAUAAAUGUUUGUAUCUGACAAAAGGUUUAAUGUUCCCCUUCCUCAAAGCUUGUAUUACUAGUGGUGAAAUGCUACCUGUUAUGCAGAAGUCUUCCGUUCUCUUAGCCAUGUAAAUAACAUUCUCUUCUUGCAGUUAUACUACAAAGCUUUAGUUUGGAUUAGUUUGCAGUUAUUCUCCUCUGAUUCAUACAUCAUAAAGUAGUUUGGAUUAUUUUGGUGAAGCGCUCAGCUCAUUUAACGCACAUUCUCUUCUUGCAGUUAUACUACAAAGCUUUAGUGUGACUACAAAAUCUUGAUGUAGUGGCUUUCUCUUCUAAUCUUCUUGUUUUUUACUUGGAGCAUAUUAAUCUCACCUUUUCUUUGGUUACACAAUUCGUAGAUCUCGGAGCAAUAGCGCGGGCAAAGUUUGAUUUCGAUGUAGUUGGGCAUUAUUCAAGGCCUGAAGUGCUUAGCCUAGUCGUUAGAGACCAUCCUACAAGACCAGUAACUUUCACUUCAGAAUCGGAAAAAGGGGAAGGCACACAGAAGUAGCGAUGGUUUUAUUGCAGAUUAACUACUUGUUUACCUCUUGAUUUGGUGGCAACUUCACUGCUUAUCUGAAGUGGUCCCUGGUAAAUAUAUCCGUCUGCAUCCCCCUGAUGUUUGAUGGUUUGGCUUAUUUUUGUCCAUCUAUCGAAGAGCGACAAUAACAUUAAAUUCUGGUUAACCAAAAAUCAUGUUAGUAUCCCUGUCAACUAAUCACUGUCAGGUUACAGUAAUGCUGCUUGAGUUCGACCUGAUUCUUAGUGGUACAGGGGACUACUAUCCUGUAUACUUUAUUUUUGGCAAAUCAGUGACUCAUAUUAUAGUGGUCCAAAGAUUUUUGCAGUCUCCCUCCUCCCCCAUUUCUCCCCCACACCCCGUCUCUUUCAUAGACAGACAACUUCAACAUGAUAGAUGCUGCCUCUUUUCUACUGAGAGCACAACUAGAUAUAGUCUUGAUUCUCUUGGGGCCAGGAUCAGUAUACUACAGAUCCUAAAUGCCCUGCAGAAAGCUGCAGAAGAAACCUGUCAAGGAAUUAUGAUUCUAUCCAAGGUUUGAAAUGGGGCAAAAACUUGGGUAGACCAUGGUGCCCCAAAUUUUGCCCGGUCUACCCAAGUGUUGGCCUUGAAAUAAAAUAAGACUGUUCUGUGUACGAGCAACUAAAAAUAACUCUAGUAUCAGCUACCUGGGUGAUAGUAAUGGCCUUAUGAACAGUUUAAAAUAACUCUAGUAUCAGCCAAAAAUAUGACUGUUCUGUUGGCCUUGCAGUGAUAGUAAUGGCCCUAUGAACAGUUUGUAAUUGUUCAGAAAGACUACCUUUAGCCCCUAUCCAAAUUAUAUCAUCUCUUGCCCAAAGAAAGAUAAAAAUGAAUUGAAGAAAAAUGGGACACAGAUAAAUUGUGAAACAAGUGAUUUGAAGGUCAACUGAUUAAUGUUCUUUAACUGUUAAACUACUGGGUUUUGGGGACAAAUGUACCUUGAACUAUGUGAGAAUAGGGCAUUGUCAACAUUCCCUGGCCAAAACAUUGAAAGUCUAAAGAUAGAGGUGGCAACCACCUAAAAUAAUAAGAACCACACAUGCCUAUUAUCACAAUGCAAUCGAUGGUUCUGUGUAUGAAUCUUGAAUGUCUCACAAACCCCAAUUUCAAACUAUAGCUGGCAAUUAUAUGAGUGCAUGUGGUCUAAAUAGUCCAAAACAAGUUUUAUAAUUGCGAGGGAAUUAUUGAGACAUGAUCCCUACUUUAUUUCUACUGUGUCAGACAGAACAUAGUCAAGACGCUUUUCCUGAUGUAAUCCAUGCUGGAUUGUACGAAUGGAUUAACAAUUUGAUGCUAUGAUAGAUUCAAUAAUGUGGGGGCAAGAAGACGACUCUUGUGCUUUGUACAUUGUUUUUCCAGGCUCAGAUUCAGCAUAACCAUCCCACAUUGCAUUCCAUUACGUAUACAUCAUGUCUGAUCAAAUUGUAAAUUGUAUUGGGUGCAUUCUCUGAGCUAAGUGACAUAAUUUGACUCUUAACAACCAAUGUUCCAUGUACCCAAAUGCAAUGAGCAACAAAAAAAAGUUUGAUGUAUAUAUAAGCAUUAUCACAUGGAUUAAUCUUUCCCAUACUGACAGUGUAUACACUGUCAUGGAUCUAACGGUGUUAGUGUUUGCACCGUCAGUGUAUACAAGAUUUACUCCAUAUCAUAUUUCAAGCACCGUACAGAGUCUUAGAGGGCAUCUUAUGAUUCUUGAUAAGCAUGGUGCACAUGGGUGGAGCAUAUACAAUCCAAGAAUGGGUUUUCUAGUAAUGAUUAAUUAGAAGAAAUACGUACGGGUUUAGUGUUAAGCAUGUGAUUGGUGGCAACUCCUUAUUAGAAAAAGACUAAAAUCAUGUUUCGAAGUUUGGAGAGUGUAAUGCAUAUUUCUGCUCAUUAGGUGUAUUGUGAAAUGCUGAAACAACGUCAUUUCUUCAACCUCACAAGCUAGUGCAGAUUGAUAACUCAAAACAAAACAUGGGAAUGGAGUGACUAAGGGAAGACAUUCCAAGCUGUAACUUCAGCAUCUUUAUUGCCAUUGACAAAGAAAAAAGUAUUGUACACUUUUUUUAUCUUACACAACCUGCAGAUCACAAAAUUCUUUGUUUACCAUUCAAGUUCCCUCACUUUUUAAACAACUCAUUGAGGCAAAUGCAGCCAUCAUUAGGAACAUUUGCCCAUCUCUAUGAAGUACGUGUAGAAAAUAUGCACUAUGCAAUAAAAGUAAACCACAACAUAACGAAGCCAUUUUCUGAUACUGUUGAAAUCAGAUCUUUAGCUUUGCUUUCAAAGUGCUCGUUGCAAUACUGCAAAUGCUUCCGAUACCACCCUGCUAGGAUCUUGAGAUGGCAACUUUUUUUGGGGGCUAGCAACUUCAUGAGAUGAUGAUAUUCUUGUACCAGAAACGAUAUGGUCUCUAAGGUCCUUGAUCAUGUUGUAUCUCUCAAUUUCAUCUUCACAUUCUUUUUUCCAAGCUUUGGAAGGAAAUUCGAACAAUUUCCCCCCUGCAAGCGUAUCAGAAUUUCUGUGUCGUGUGGGAGAAAAUUCCCACUCAAUCCCAUCAGGAGUUUGCCUUUCUAUGGAAAUGCUUUGCCUUUGUCUCUUUUCAGAGGUGGACUUCCUUCCUGUAGUUUUACCAUUGAUUGCCAUCUUCUUCGAGCCAUCUUGAACAACAUCACUCCAUUUGUGACUCUUGCUAUUAUCAUCCAUGUUCAAUUCAAUCGAGUGAAGAUCACUAUCACCUGAAUCUUCUGCUUCCUCUACCUCCUCCUUGUACGCAACUUCCACAUCAUUCUUCUCUUGAUCUUGAUAUUGACUUGAAACUGGAAGGGUCUCUCUUAAAUAUUUCUGAAGUUCCUUUAUCCUUUCAUAGUUUGGAGAGCUGGCCUCUUGCUCUUCGUCUACCUUGGUUUUUAAGCAGGCCUCAAGCUCAGUCCUCAAUUCAUCAACAGCAGCAUUUUUCUCUUCAAAUUCAUACUUGGCUUCCAAAAGUUUCAUUUGGACCCUUUCCUCUCGCAGCACAUCAGCCAGAUGAAGCAUUUCCCUCUCUUUUUCCACCUCUUCACGAACUUUAGCAGAUUCUUUUUUAAGUCCUUCCACAACAGCUCUAUCUUCUCCAAUUCCUCUAGCUAAUUCAUCGCAUACUUGCUCUAAAAUCUCUCUUGCCCUCUUCUCACUUUCGAGUUCCUUGUUAGCCCUCGCCAAAGCUUUUUUUGUGUCUGCUAAUUCUCUUCCUAGUUUCUUGUUCAGUCUCUCUGUUUGACGCUUCAGCUUCUUCUCUAUCUCAAGCUCCCCUGCAAUUGCUUUAACAGCACUACGUAUCCGUUCUUUCUCUUUCAUUUUCCAAGUGGCUCUCUCUUCCUCAAACUGAUGCAACAGAAAAUCAAUCUCGUGCUGACUUGAUUUUUGCUCAUGAAUCACCUUAUUAACCUGAAUAUAAGCUCGUUCGAGCUCAACUUUUAAGGCUGAAAGCAGGGACAAGCUAGCAGGUGGUUGUUCUUCAAGACGCCAUAUGUGAUUCAAUACUUUCAACAGAUCCUUGGAUGUGGUAAGAGCACCUAGUAAAUCUUUCAACCGGUGCUUAACUUUGUUCCCGCGGGGAGUUCGGCUAUGAACAUGUAACUGAUUCUGAUCCACCUGCAUAACCUGAGAAUCUGAUCACCAAUAUCCCUCGUACUAUAGAUAGAAACAGGUUAGGGGGGGGGGGGGGGGGGAACAUAAAAUUACUGUAGGCUGUGAACAUUCAUUAAUGAUUACUGCUCAAAAUUCUUGAACUCUAAUUUGAUAAUGACAAUCCAUAAUGUUUGCACUUAAUGCGCAUACAUGAAGAUGUUACACCACAUAUGGGCAAGAAACAAGCCACAAGACAUGUUUGUAUCUGGUGGACCCAAAAUAGAAUCAAAUCAUGUUCUCUGCCGCUCUGAUCCAAUAGAAGGGUUUGUCCAUUUCCUAAGAUAUGUUUUAAACAAUCCAAAUAGCCACAAGUACCAUGAAUGCAAUAUAAAGCUGCAAGGCAAAAGCUGCAAUUACACUAGGCAAAUAGCCAGUGAAAAGACACAUCCUCUGGUUAAAAAAGAAAUAGAAAAUGCUAUUAACAGUUUGAACUGUAGCAACUGAAAAUACAUAGCUUAAAUGUACACAUCAUAUUAAUUUUUUGACGAGAAACCCACGUGUUUUCUGGCAAUUAAGUAUGAACUACCUCCAUUAAGCUGGCAUUAUGAAGAGAGGUAAAGCCACCCAAGUUGCAGUCAGAUGGCAGAAGUUUCUGAGAACCAACUGAAGCUCUUCUUCGAUGAGAGCCCGCAUUAGGCUGAUCCAUUUUCUGCAAGUUAGAUAAGGAAAAAUUAUCAGAACCUAAACCGAGAAAUAUAUUCAGACUAAGAUUUCAUGAUUUUCAUGCAUGAAUUAUUUGAUGGUGUGUAUAUAUAUAUGUCAAAAAACUUUCACCCCACCUCAGAUAAAGGACUAAAAGAUGGAUCAGAACAAUAAAAUGGCACUGAACCACCUUUGGAUGACUUCAAAAUUCUAUCUUUCCUAUCACCCCCUUGAUCAAUUUCACUUUUUCUAUCUUCCACAUGGCUUUUCAUUUUAGCAGUAGAAACCACCCCAUUAAUCUCCCACAAGGUAGCAGCCAGUUUUCGAGCCGACACCGACAAUUCUUUCCCUCUAUCACCACCACCACCGCCACCACCCUUUGGUGCCAGCAGAAUAUUCUUGACAUUUUUCAGAGAAGGUGAUCUUGAACUACUACUCAUCUUCCAAGUUGGAACAGGAGUGCUUGAACCUGCUUUCUUUCCAACCAAAAUUGCCCUUUUCAACCGAUAAUUUCGAACUAAUGAAGACGAAGAUGAUGAUGAACUUCCCCUCUUUCUCACCUUGCUCUGCCCUCCAACAAGUCCUCCAUCCACAUUUAAGUUUUUCCUCAGCAUUUAUCUUCUCUAUGUCGUAAAACCUCAAUAUUAAUCUAUAUAUGGCUGGUAGCCUUAACCGUACUCGGACUCAAGAAUCUUCCUCUAGUUAUAUGAAUCCAAAUGAUCACUUUUGUUCAAACUCAGGAAUCAUUAAGUACAGCAAUCAUAAGAUUUCCUAGUACUUUGAACUUGUGCAGAUCUAAAGCAACACACAAGAUAUCACCAUCAUACACUUUUGAACACUUUAGAAUAAGAAAAAAAAGGAAAAGAAAACUACUCUUGAAACAGUUUUGGAAGUGGAAGAACUGUCAGAGAUUGUUCUAACAUGCUUUACAGUCAAAAAGAGCAAAAACCAAAGAAAUUUGAACUUACCCUUUUUGAUUUUUUGCACCUUAAGAACACUAGUUAGAAGAAGAACAAGUCCAGUUUGUCUUUUGGGAAAUGAUGAUGGGGUAGUGUACUAGUGUAUCCAAUUUAGUGCCUAAAGUGGGCUUUGUUUCAAACUUCCAUAGAGGGAAAAGAACACAUGAAAGUGUGUGUUUGAGAGAGUGAGAGACAGGGCCAAAAAACAAAAAAACAAAGAUAGCAGCUGGCAAAAGGAAAUGGAUGGAAAUGAAAGGAAGUUAUGAAGCAAACUGUGAAAGUAAGGAAGAUUGAUGAUCAAGUCUGAGUUGGAAAAGUAAUGUAAAGCAAUGCAAGAAGUUGGAGGGAAUUAAACUUAAAGGGCUAGUGAAUCUGAUCUCUUCUUCACUCUUUUCAUACCAACAGAAAAAGUCCCUAAGUGGGAUAGGUCUUAUUUAGGAGGAUCAGAGAUCGGUAGUUGUGCAGGGAUAAAAAGCAAGAGAGAAGGACGUGGCAUACACGUGAGCAAGAAGCAAUUAAGGACGUGGCUGUAUAAACUGGACGGUUACUACAUUUGACUAGGUUCCAUGCAUUUCUGGCCUGCUCUGCUUCCUAUCGUCCAUAUUUUAAGCCGUUGUGUGUGAAGGAAUGGGGGUGCACAGUGGAGUUGCUGAUUUUUUAGCAAUCAGCCCUUUGAAGUAUCUUGCAUUUUGAAACCAUGGCCUCUACUUUUGAGAUUUCAGGUUUCAAGACCAACCAAAUGGUUUUCUUGCCCUAAUUCUACUUCGAGUGCUAUAGGUUACUUAUUCGUUACUGACCAAAUGGGAAACCGAGCACUUAAAAAAUCUUUAAUUUUUGUUUAUUCUCAAGUCCGUAAUCUAAUUGGAAAUGAGGUUUGCUACAUAUCUCGAACUCUGUCUUCAAUCAAUAGAAAUUUGUUACAUAUCUUGAGUUCUGUUUUCAAUCAAUAGAUGUCUUAUAGUAAAAACAUCGAAAACUAGUAAAUACUUAUUCAAUCGAAUGAGGGUGCAAAAUGAGGGUUUAUCAUAUAGAGUUUUAAUUGAUGUUAGUUACUAAUAAUAUAGGAAUUACUGCACAGUAUGAGUAACCUCUUUCAAGUCUUCCAAAAUAACGAGAUGUACAAGUUAAUUUAAGGUAAACAAAGGGGUAUCAUACGCAAAUAUCCCAAUAGAUUACUAGUAUAAGGUAAGUAAGGAAUGUAAGAAGAAAUCUUGCCAACAUUUUAGCUGCUAACGUUACAUUUGCAGAGGAUCAUAAUAUCCUCCAAUCAAUCAAAAGGGGAGGAAAACUCAGAGAAACAGGAGGGAUUCCUGCAGCCACGAGGUCGGGCCCCAUUCACGGCUAAAAAUUUUCUAUUUUUUUUCUUACAGGGAUUUCACUGCUGUACUGAGGAAUCAUAUUUUUCCAAAUUGUAUAAAAACAACCACGUCCUGAUAAGAUAUAGUUAUAUUGGGACCCCGCCAAGAUGCCCCUACCACAUGAUCAGUUCAUCAUUAUGAAGAAUUUCUCAAGAUGAUCAUAUAAAUAUAAUAAUAUGCAUGCAUAUUACUAGGGAAGGGAUACGUGUGAUAAGCUGUAUUUAGAAUAUACUAGGGAAGUAACGUUGAGAAAUUAUGAUCACAAGUUCUUUUUCUUUUUUUCUUUUAUUUUUGGUCAAUUAUGAUCACAAAUUGUAAUUGGAAAACACUGGGAGAAGAGAACAUCUUUUUUGCUUUCUUAAUUCGGCAAGAAAUAAACCUUUUAUUAGGAUUUGAAUUUUGAUUGCCUUUGGUCAAUGUUUGGGAUCUAGAAAAGAAUCAUCAAAUGAUUAAAGGCCAAGGUACCCUGUCAAUUUUGGUAAAAGGUGAAGAUUCUCUCCUUUUCUUUUUAUUCCCGAUUAAGUUGUCUUCCCUUUGAAUAGAACUUUGAUUUAUGCUUUGUUGUAAUUGAAAGCACUAGCUAGCUGAAACCUUUUUCCAGACGUUUAUAAUCUUGUUAACUUGUGAUCUUCCUAGCUUGAUUCGUAGGAUAUCAUUUUGAAGUUAAAAAACUACUAAAACUAUGGUGGUAGGAUAAUAAAUUCCCAAGAAUAAUCUAGGUGUGGGUGCAGUCCAAAGAAUAAUUUUAGGAAUGGAUGUAAUUUCUUGAGACUUUCUAGGAUUCUUUCUUUUGUAUCACUUACAUUCUUUUUCCUAUGGCUUUUUAACAACUAUCUUGCCAGAUGCAGCAGCUUGGGGGCCGAGCCUAAGAUGAGAAUUCAACGGUUCAAAUAACUUCCUUUAAAAAAAGAUUCAGAGUACUGAGAUUAAUCACCUUUUUAUCUCACAUAUAAAUUGGCACGAGGGUUUCUUCUAUAGUACGUAUCAGCACCCUAGUUUCAACAGCUUUAUGGAAAAUAGAAGAGUGACGCAAAGUAGUUAGCAUGGUCGAUAUCAUAUGAUUGAAGUUAAGGCCUUUUUCUAAGUGUCAUUUUCUGGUUUUGCUUAAAAAGGGGCUGGUGAAGAAGCAAUGGACCACAAUUGGAUUCAACUGUACUAAUUAAUCACUUAAUCAAGCCUGCCUUGUGCUGCAUGAAAAUUGUCAAAACAUCCGUACUUUCUUCCACGAGUGUUUGCAGGGACCAUCCUAUUUCCAUCUCUUAUUAUCACACUGUAGAACUUGAUUGUGAUUACAAUGUAGGGUGGUCUACAGUAAAUAGAGUUCCCCAACUACUACUGAGCUGAUUCAUGACCAAUAAAAAGAACAAUUCCUGAAUUUGUAAUUCUUUUUCACGUUGUUUCUUUAACACUUAAUAUUGAAGUGAUCUACAUUGAUGAGAAUGAACUGAGAAAGGGCUUCUUCUUCUUCUUUUUUUUCAUCCUUUAAACGUUGUAGUUCCACAUCUACUUAAUUUUCACCCAAUUCGAUGAUUAAGAAGCAAGGAUCGAUUAUAAGAAUUUUCUGAGACAUUUUGAUUUGGAUUAAGUUUUUAUAUGCUGUUGGUAUAGAGAAAAAAAAAUUUUACACUUACUAACAGGUGCAGAUGUAUGUUACUUAGAAAUUAUAUUACGUGACAUAUAUCUAUAUUUACUUAUACAUAUACUGACAGUGCAUAAAAAAAUUAUCCGACUGAUUGUGUAAAGAUCUUUUGCAGGUUAAGCAUGGAGCUGAUGCCUCCCCUUUGGAUCAAUUGAAAUUGCAUCGAAUCUACCACAAUAAUGCAUAAGGUGAAACACUCAAAAGUAGAUGUACAUAGACGUUGAGAAAAUGACAAAAGCAAUAAAAGAUAUGCAUCGAUAUGUAAAAACAUUGUGAACGUUAGCAGUAUGGUCCAUCUGGAUAUUGUUGGGACUAUUGAAUGUACAACCAUGAAAUCUCAAAUAUUUGGAGCUGUCAGAAAGACAAAUUGGAAAAGAAUUGGAAAUCUACAAGUUGAAAAUUAGAAGUUCAAUUAAAAACUGGAACUGGAAAUAGAAAGUUUUUGUUUUUCUUAGGAUUAUUAUCACUUUAUCCCCUUAAACUAUAUCACUACUAUUAAUUUACCCCAUAAUGUUAUCUUUUAGUCACUUUACCCCUAUAAGUAAUUCAACUCAACAUGUUAAGAAAUUUUGGACAAAAAUAUCCUUUUAUUUUAUAGCAUUACUACAUUGUUAUUAUCACUUUAUUCGUUUAGAUUAUAGUUAUAUAAUCACUUUAGUUCCUAACGUUAUUUUCUAGACAUUUUUUACCUCAUCGUUAAUGUAACUAGUAUGGUCAAAAAAUUUAAAUAUAUUUGCCCUUUUUUAUAUAUAAUUAAAAAUAAAAAAGUUGGAAUGGUUAUUCUUCCUUUUCUUUUCACUUUAAGAGAUCGAAAGACAUAAAAAUAAAAGAAUUUUCUCAAAUUUCUUUUUUUCACACUUAUUAAUACUUAGAAAAGAAAAAGACACAGGAAAGAAGGAGACAAAAAAUUAGAUUUUGCAAAGAAAGAAAAUAAAGAAAAAUCUAAUAUUAUCGUAUUACUUUAAGGUUGUCGAGAUUAGGAUUGGAAUUUGGUAGUAAACAGAAAAGUGAAAUAACUUUAAAAUAAUAAAAGUAUUCAAUUCUUUCUUAUUUGUAAUUUUUUAAAAAAGAAUUGAGCUCUCUCUCUCUCUCUCCCCUCCCCAUUUCCAUCUUUCUAUUUUUUUCAAUAUUAAUAAGAUUGUCAAGAAGAAAGAAAUUAAUUUUUUGACUUUUUUUCUUGAUACUAAAAAGGAUAAGAGCCACUCUAAACUUUUUAUUCUUUUUAUUAUGCAAAGAGGAGGCUUUUUGCUUCUCAAGUUUUUUUAACUUGCUAAGUUGGUUUAAUGAUAGGAUAAAUUGUCUAAAAAAUAAAUUUAGGGGAUGAAUUGAUAAUGAGACUAUAGUUUAUAGGGGUAAAGUGAUAAUAAUUUUAAGGGUUAAACAUGUCUUUUCACUUCAAUUAACAAACUCCGUUAAGUUUGACCGUUAGUCUUGGGGGUAAAGUGAGUAAAAGAUAACGUUAAGGGGGAAAUUGAUAGUGGCACCAAACGUUAAGGGGGUAAAGUGAUAAUAACCCUUUUUCUUAAUUCCUAUUUUAUUUUACUACAGUUGCCCACUUGCUGAUAACUUUGGUGGGAGAAAAUUAUUUGGUGAUUGAUAGGCAUUAAUUAAGACAUUUCCUUGAAAUUUUUUAGUUAUAUCUGAGGAAAGCUAAAGUUUAGCAGCUCUUUUGAUUUUGAACGUUUUGUCAUGGAACAUAUGCUUCAGUUUCUUUUUUUUUUUUUUUAAUGAACUUUGCAGCAAAAAUAAUUAUGUACAUGGGCACAAGAGUACAAACACCACGAAUUCAUAUUCACUAACAAAGGGAGUCAAGACUUGGGAACUAAAAGAAAUGAAAGUUAAAAGAAAGAAGCAAACUUUAGAUACUUAAUUCAUGGGUCAUAUUAUACACAUUAAUAACAUGUAAAUCAUUUGUCAAAAUAGCCCUCAGUCCUCCCCUUGAAUCCAAUUUGUCCAAAAGUAAGGGUGAUAAACAACCCCAAAUGCCAAGUGACCAUCCACAACCUGCCCGAUCAUCAAGAAAAACAUUAUGCCCAAGUGAGAAAGAAAAGUAUAUACAUAAUCUAAUUAGUAUGAACUAAUGAACUAAUCAUAUAAUGAGUUAAGCAAAAUAAUCAAAUCCUCUAGUUAUCCAAGUAGGCUAGCAAGGGUUGAGGAGACGUUAGUCUAAUUGCUAAAGUUUAUAUCCAAAAAAAUCAGAAGUUUUGUGUUUAAAUCCCCUUGUCCUCUUCUUGUUUUUUUAAAUCUCAUCUCUCCUCUGCCGAAAUAAAUUUAGAAAAAAAAAAAAGAGUUGGCGAGCAAGGCAUAUAGUAAUGUUAUUGGAAUGUACUUCGAUUAUGGUAAUCCCACUAAUAUAGAUUGAGUUGAUUGUAAUCAUAUGGUGCUAUCAAAAACUUAAGCAAAAUUAUUUGUUGAUUCGCACUUAAUAUUUCCCCAAGUUGCCUCAUCUAGACAAUCUAACAUGGAAAAUUUUGUAUGAUCAAGAGGUGGAAAUUAAUCAUUUGCCUCCAUGUUGAUCGAAUUGAACGAUGGCCUUCGAUUAUCCAAAUUAGACAGUCCCCAUAUGCUUUGGGAAUUGAAAUUCAUACCUCACUAGAUAAUUUUAGUAUUCCCAAAUUUCGAAGUUCUACUUUUGGGCAUGGGCCAAGGGCCGUUAAUUGAUGAUAUUUAUGCUUGUAGUCACUUUGCAGGGCAUGCCCGAAAUCCUUUGUCCGGUUGCUUUGCUUACAUCAUCAGUUGGACUAUAUGAAGAUGUUACCACACUUAAUGUUGGAAAAGUAAUAUGUAGCACAUUUAUGAAGAUAAUACCUCAGGUAGAUUCUACCUAAAAACUUAAGCAAUUAAUUUACCGGCUAGUGUUUAUAUGUCAUGAGCAUAUUGUCAAAUGAUUGAAUGUUCUUCGAGAUUAUAAUGCUUUUUUUUAGGAGGAAAAUGAUGAGAUUUAAGAAGUGAGAAAGAUGGCAGAAGAAUUUGAACCCAACAUCCAACGUCUCUAAUUCAUUGGACUUCAUGAACUAAGGAUCAAUUAUAGUACCUUAGUUGGUGUUUGCUCGUCUUGGUUUAUGACAAAUUAUUACUUUAGUUUAACACAAAUUCCAUCACUUUUUCGGAGUCUCAUGACCAAAUUCAGGGUUCAUGCAUGUAGAACAAGAUGGUUAUUAAUUAGUACACAAGUGAAUCCAAUUCUAAGCCAAAAGCAAGGGCAUCAAAUUUAGUGUCGACUAUUUUGACUAUUAUUAUUUAGAGAGUAUAUUUCAUCAAUCUAUUUAAAUUUUCUAUACUUAUUUCGGUAGGGAAGGAUCACUACUUUAAAAAAAAAAAGUAUUAAAAAAAAGAAAAAGAAAAAAUACUGUAACCAUAAGUCAACAAGGCUUCUGAACAUGGACGACCGCCCAAUUAUUUGAGUGAAGCAUAUCAAAACUAAGAUUUCAUCUACCAAAAUAUCAAUGGACUCUAUCCUGGCAGGCCCAAUAUGUAAAUGAAUCCAUCCGAGUGAAUGGAAAGAUCAUUGCUACUCUUUUAAAGGAUCCGUUAUUUAUUUACUACGUUUUUUUGCCUUACAGUUUUGGCAGAUGUAAUUUCCAUAUGGGGAAGCUUAUGUAGUUGAAAAACUAAAAUUGAAUUGGGAAAUGGGUUAUAUGCUUACCAGAAUGGAGAAGUGAGAGGAGGACCAGUAGGGAAGUGAGCCAGCUCAGUUCCAAUACUCUCAAAGAGGAGCCCUGUCAAGCUUUUCCCAUUAAUUACUGGAAUGCUGGAAGGUGCAAUCCAACCAAUUAAUCCAAAUCCAAUCACAUUGAAGUCUGUCCUCAGCCAGUCUCUCUCAAAGCUUCAAUCAGUUAGUAUAAGACACGUUAAUGAGGCAAAACCAAAUUAAGGAAAUCACCCUGAUGAAUUACAUAGCAGCAUAAUAGUACUUAAGAGACAUGAUUGUUAUGGAAUUUUUGGCCUUAGAGAUGAUUACCAAGUAAACUUCCCUCCUGAUAUUUGUGCUAGGCUCAAAGGAUUCCUAGUCGUUACGGGAGAUUUUAGGAAGCCUAGAGAAAGAGAUCAUACACUAAAAAAAAUUAGAAAACGCUAUAAUUUGUAUAUCCGAACAUGUUAUUGAACCAUCUGUCACGCAAUACAUUGUCAGUGUAAAAAAUAAACAGGGUUUUACCUGAGUUCAAGCAUACUUUCUUUGGUGAAGAUGCCCGAGAAGGCGAUGACAAAGAAGAUGUUCCCAAGCCUACCACGGUUGAGGCAGUAGCAAAUGUGGUAGCCAUAGUUUUCUGUGCUUGGGUUUCAAUAGAGGAAAGGCUUGGGUUUGAUCUGAUGAAGCAAAAAUAGUGGGGAAAUUUGGAUGGUUAUUUACAGAUAUUUGGCAAUACAUGUUGCAACACAAGUGGAUUUGAGCGAGUAAUGGAUUGCAUGGAUUGGCUGCUAAGCAAUGCUAUCUUGCCAUGUGGAGUUGUAUGGAUAAAAUGGACCCUGAUUUGGAUUGACUGGAUGUACAGUAACCCUUCUCUCCUUGGUUGCCACAGGUGUUGGGUACACUUAAAACGGGACCAAUUUUGGGUCGUGGCAUUGAUCCUGCAAAAUUUUUAUGGAGAUUAAACCUUGGUUCGUUUAGGAAAAAUAGUUAUUCUAAGGUAAAAAACUUGCAGCAGAGUACAAAUAUCUUGUUUGUCCUGAGUAUUGAUUGUAAUGAUUCUUUGAAGAAUUUAGCAAUAUUAUGGUCAGGGAUUUUUCAUAUUCGGUCAAUUGUGUUGAGUAUAAGAAGCUUGCUUUUGGAUAUGCAACAGCUAAACCAACAUGUUUCUUGUCCAUGGAAGUUGCAGAGACAUUCUUGGGGUAAUUUUCCAAAGAUAACAUAGCUUGUCGAAAUACUUGACAGACUAUAAUUUUGUUUUUGACAAUGUCCCUAUAGUCAUGUUAGUGAUUGCAUCGUAAUUAGAUCCAUUUAGACUAUCUUGUUUUUUUUAAUUUAAGACGAGAUUCCAAAACCUUCAAGAGGAAAGGAAAACGUAGAAGAUUUGAAGUCGAAUCAGAACUGCAGGCUAAUGAAUUCUAUACUUGUUCGUUCUGAAACUAUCCACCACUUUAGAGCUAAGAACUCAUAAGGAUGUAUGACCUAUAAUUAAUGGAUUGAACAAAUACAACUUGUUUAGCUUGAUUUGCCAUAUUUGCAGGUAAAUUGGAUGUCAUAAUUCUUAAAUGCAUAUGAAGCACGAAGUAUUCUACAGUUCAUGAACUUAUUUCCCUUCAUUGCCUCAGCCAUUAUUUUGUGUAGAUUUCAAUUAUAUUCUUGAUUAUUACCUCCUAAUGUUAUUCUUAACAAUCCAUUAAGUCAACCUAAAGUUAGCAAAGUACUGUUCAAAUUAGACUUUGAUGAAAAGUCCUGUGCCAAUCAUCACAUCACGCACAUAUAUCUGUGCAAUACUUAUCACGUCUGUGUUCCUGGUUUAAUCUUGCCAAUGAUCAAAUUAAUAUAAGAUCUGGGCUCCAGUCUGAAAGAUGCAUGUCGAAUUAAAUACAAACAAGAUGAAAAUAAUAACGUAAUUGACUCAACUUACUUAAAUUUUUUUUAAGGUCUUAGUAUUAACGUAGUAGUAAAUCUUUUUUCUUUCUAGGGACAAUUGAAGCUGUGAUAUGGUCGGUGUUUAACGUGAAGGGGUAGGUGAGAAUGGCAUGUGUCUUUGGAAAAUGAAAUCAAAACAUGCAUCUUUAGUUGAUUUUUCAAUCACUUUUUGCAUUUUUCUCGUGGGAAACAAAGGAGGCUUCAUAUUUAUGCCAAGAAUGUGUAACAAAUGUUACCUUAAUCCCAUGAGAACAAAUGUUACCUUAAUCGCAUGGUAAAUAUAACACAGCUAUAACAACAAGAUGUGUAACAAACGCACUUUCUCUAUGCCAAGAAUUAUGCAAUUUAUUAUGGAUUAAUCUUGUAUAUGCUAACAGUGUAUUCAUUAUCAGCGUUGAAUGAAUGACAACUAUGUAAAAUUUAAAUUUGAAAUCUAAUUUUUUUUUUUUACAUAUAUCAUAGAUCCAACGAUAAUAAUGUACACAUUGUCGAUAUAUAAAAAAUUACUCAUUUAUUAUGUUGUCAAAUUAGCUUCAACUAAAAUAUAUAUUCUUGUAAUUCACAUUACAAUCUGAACGAAAUCUUUCAAGAUAUUUGGUGGCCCAAGUAAUGAAUUUUCUAUUGUCAAGAAAUAAAAGUAAUGAAUCUACUAGCAUAGACACUGUGCAACCAGGGGGCUUUGUAAAUUUUUGUAUUUACAACCAUCAUCUGCUGAAAGAUCAAAUAAAUGGAGGAACAAUAUAAGCAAUAAAUAUAAAUCCCAGAUUUGAAGUCUAGUGGGUCCUUUGUUCGAAGUUUUAGGCAGAUUUAUCAAUACAAAUGGUACUAAUGACAUUGUAUUAGCCCUUAUUGAGUUGAUUAUAUUGACUUAAAAGCAUUUCUCAAUAAAUUCAAAUUGAAGUUUUAUGAUGUUAGGACCACUUAGCCGAAAAACACAGCUCCCCCACUACGCAGCACCAGAAAUGAGGCAAAUUUAGAGAACAUUUCUUCGAAAACAUGCCAAACCGGCAGAUCGUCUGUUUUCCUUCUUGCAUUUGUUAAUGACAAAGUGGGAAUGUUAAAGUAAAACAUAAGUUAAAAUCCUGUCAUUAGGGGAACAAUGCAAAUAAUUAAGAGGACCUCGCGCACUAUUAGUGAAUCUCCCGAUCUUAAUUGCUUCUACAAGCCAAUGACAACUUUUUUUCGUGACCGUGUGCAUGAGAUAAAAAAGUGAUUAAAAAAUAAUAAAAGAGAUUUGUAAUAACCAUCUCGAGACCGAACUCAUGUAACGAAAUUGGAGGUACAACAUAAGUCGAACAGUGCACCUUGUAAAUUAGAAUAGCUGCUGCUAAUGUAGUAGGGUAGGUUUAGGAAUGCUGAUAUCCUAGGGUUUUUUUAUUCAAAAGGGAAUCUAGCUAUUGCUCUUCGAUAGCAUCUUUUGGUAAAGAAAAAGGGAAGUGCUGUUGUUGUCAAUCUUAAUUAAUGUUGUUGUUUUCUUGCAAGAAAACAGUUGUGCGAAUUUGGCUCCUUUCCAGCGGAUUCUUUAUCCAUUCUCCAUUUUUGAUAAUGUAUAUCUGGAUGCAUGACAUGCGUCUACAUAUCAUACAUUUGCACGCACGCACGUUGUGAGAAACAACGAGAAAAUUCACCGGCCAGAAGCCGAAACGAAGAGAAAAUUCACCGGCAAGAAGCCGAAUCCUGUGCUUGGCGGCUGAAAUGGAAGGUUAUUUCGUAGAAAUUGAAUUUGGCCUACUAAAAUCUCUUGAGAUUCAUUGUACGUGGAAUGUUUCUAGAAUUCUAUAAUGUUUGAAUGAAAAUGUAGAUUGGUUAGAUAAGAGUGUACCUACAGCAUUCAAGGAUGUACCAUAUCGCUUUAAAAUGGUUUCAAGUGAUCAGCCUUACUUCAAUCCUAUCCUAGAGUGCAAUAAUUUUAAUUACCUGAAGCCAAUGUGUGCUUAAACUGUAAUUACAUUAAUAUCAAAUUUAAAACUGGAAUUUCUGCCAUUUGAGUCCCCAAAAUGGUUAUGGUCAGUACCCAGUAUACUUGAAAAUAUCUUAUGCAGAUCAACUUGUUCAAUUUUACCAUUUAAUCCUUUGGAUCCUCCUCUCUGAUGCCUUCAUGCCUUCACUUCUUCAUAAGAUUCAAAACAAGCAAUUAAUGAAAUGGACCAAUAACAAGUAAAAAAGAAUCAAAAUUGAAUCUAGACAUUAAACUUAUUUGAACUUCUGUACGCACUGUAAAUAUUUCAUUAUUCUUGGAGUGGAUGGAUGAAUAAACCUUACAAAUAUCAUAUAGCAAUGAAAUAAUCCAUUGCUUCUCUAAUUUCCUAUAGACACUUAAUCUUCACGUAUCUGAAAAAGAAUAAAUAUAAUAGGAGAAAAAUCUCUCCACAUAUUUCUAUGUAUUUUCCUAUAACCUAAAAAAGUAAUCUGUCCACGAAAGUAAAUUUAAGGGCUAAUAUAAUGAUCAUCAAUCAUCAUCUAAACAAAACAAACGCCCAGAAAGCCAUGAAAAUACUAACCCCAGUGGCUAUGCACACCAUAUCCAACCUCCUUUCUCUGUUUUGCCUUCUCUCCCUCCAUUCUCUCCUAAGCUCCAAGAACACUUCAUACAUCCUUUUCUCCUCUCCAGCUUCACCUUUUCUCCUGUUCCCAUCCAUGGCUUCCUGUAAAAUUACCAAAGUGUCCUCCCCGCUAAUUAUUUUCCCCUCCAAGUCCUCCACCUGCAUGCUUAUCUCCCUCACUUGCAAGUCCCCUCCUUCCUUCCCUCCACAAGUAACCACAGCUUUACAGAUAACGAACUCUCUGCCAGCACGGCCGCCGCAACCUCCGGUAGCCAUCACCGUCGCGUAAGAGGCCUGAAUUUCUCCUGUUAACCAAUGGCGCCGGACAUCCACCGGAGUCAAACUCGACAAGUUAACAGCCCGUUUUUUCGCGGGGUCGAUGACUAUCCAGCUCAGCCUCAUGUUCUCCUCCACUCUAGCCAUGCACUUGUCGUCCUCGCCGUCGAACUUCACCAGUGCCGGAACUAUCUCUUUGGGGUCUAGCAGGUCAACCCUGAAGGGUGAACACAUGAACCAGCCGGAGGACGUCUCCGUCACGGCGACUUUGGAGUAAACAAGCUCAUUUCCAUAAUGAAUGUCAACAGCAGAAAUCAAUUCUGAUGAGUGACUAUCAUUGGACUUGGGCCGGCGGUGGGCCGGCGGCUGCCGGUGGUGGUGGUGGAUGUUGGGGAAAGAAUCCGAAUAGAACGAACGGUGGCCGGAAGGAAAGCUCGAUAUUGCUUGCUGAAUGCAUGGAUGGGCUGUUGACGGCCAGUUCGAAUUGCAAAUUGUCUUCCAAAGAUUUUCCUCCGUGCAAAGGCUGUGUAAAUCUGAAGAAGCACAGCUUGUAGAAGCAAGAGUUGGGCCAUCAAGCCUAGUCAAGAUAUGUGUUUGGAUGAUGUCCGGAUGGACAGCGGUGAUCGUGGUGGCUCCGCCACCGUCGGCGGAGGUCGCUGCGGCGGAAGUGGAGCAGCUAGAAGACAUAUUCAUUGGUCGGUCUUGGUUUUAAGUGUUGAAUAUUGAUCAAAAUCUUGAAAUUGGACUUUGAAGGAAGCAAAUAUUCUAUUCUAUAUUUCUAUAUACCAGCUUCAAUUGUUUGAGAGAAAAGAUGAGGAGUAGUUGUUUCUUGCUUCAGGAGCGAGAAGCAUGAAGAAUUGAAGAUUGAGGGGUGGUAUAUGUACACUUCAUGGAGGAUGGAAAAAGUGGUUUGAUUUUAUCAAAAUGGGAGAGUCAACACUGGCAUGUUUAACAUUUGAAAUAAAAUAGUUAUAAGAUAGUGGUAGUACUACUACUUAUGGUACAGUGGAAUUAGGGAGAAUUAAUGAGUUGGGGCUCUUAAAAGAAGCCGUAUUUGACUUUGAGAUAACGUUCAAACUUCCCAAUGUCUCCCAAGGUGCCAAGUGAGAUAACGAAAGGCUAAAGCUUACAAAAUGAAAUUUACUUUUAAAAUUUUUUAUACUAAAUAUUCAUGUGAUUUUUUUCUUCUAGAAUUCAAGUUCAUUGGGAAUAAUUAAGUGAGAUAAAUAAAAAGUACUAUGCAAAAUGUUUACCUAAAACUAAAAUAUUCUGGGACAUGACGUAAUUUUUCGCGUCAUUUUUAUCCUCAAUUAUCAAAUAUAGGAUUCAAAUCUUGAAUUUGAUAUGAAAGAGACUCUAAUUGUUGGCUAGUAGCCAGUGGGGCAACCCCAGUAGUCGGUAUCAAACCAAGAAAGUCACUCAUGAAGAAUCUUUUCCUUUUAACAUGUGCCACAAAUUCAAAUAUUUUUGUAACUGUUUUUAGGAAUUACUUCAAAGAUUCGUCAUAUGUUUCAUUUGUAACACUGAGUAUAUAUGUUACUAUAUUUAUAUUCAUGUUGGAUAAUUAAAUAACUUGCAUAUCUGAUUCAAUAAUGCAAAUUAUUCUAUCAUAAAACAUAUUUACUAAAAAAAAGUAUAUAACACCUAUGUAUUUUGAAGUAUAUAAUGAUAUAUAUAUAUAUUUUUGUCUUUCUCUAUCUUAGAAGUCUCUCUUCACUUUGGGAUUCUUCUUCCUCUUUUUUUUUUUUUUUCUUCUGAUCCCUUUCAUUUUACACUGGAUGGAGUUGUAAGUAAUAACUCUUAUAUUUUACACAAACAAGUCAAUAUGCUUUGGACCUAUAGUGCAUGUUAUUUUGGUUAUUUUGGGCUUCUAGUCGAGCGUGUAAAGCUGUCUUCGUCAUUUACCACUUGAGGGGCGAGAAGUCACAAGUGCCAUACCACCGGUUUUAUAUCUUAUAACUUGCUACAUAGUCCACAAAAGUCAAUUUUAGCAUAACAAAAUGUUGUUCCAAAAAAACAAACUAGUCGGUAGCACUCCAAAGUAAAAUCCAACAAAUUAGUUAGGUACAGACUAUGAUCUUUGGCUUUGUAUGGAUCAAGCGUUUUUCACGAUAAUUUUUGAAUGAUUUUAACAUAGCGACGUAUAUGAGAAACUUUUAUUGUACAUGAUUAGACGUUUAUGGUCUUUGGUUUUGUAUGAAUCAAGCGUUUUUUUAUAAUAUUUUUGAAAAAUUUUAACGGAGUGACGUGUGUAAAAAUUUUUUACUGUAGAUGACUGAACGUUUUUAAACGUGUACAAAUAGCUAUCGUUUAGCUAUUUUCGAACGGUAGCUACUUGAUAGGACGAAGUCAAUAUUGGAUGACUGAGGCUGGCUAAGAAGGUGAUGAAACUUGGCAGCACAUUGCCAAAUUGUCCAGUUCUGGUAAGUGAUCUUAUCCAAAUUAAUACGGAAAAGAAAACCCACAACUUGGGAGACUUUUGAGGUAGUUUCCAGCUUUAUUUUUCAAGAUUGAUAAAUGAAUUUGAUAACCACGAGCCUAAGACCACUUUUUUUUCUUGGUAAUAAAUGCUCUCACAAUCUUUAAUACUACUAUAUAAUAAGUUGGAUAUUUUGCAUCGUAUAUAUGCGUGUAUUUAGAGUAUAGACGCGUGCAUGAUGACUGGUAUGAAAGUUUCAGCAAAAUGGCCUUUCAGCAGAUUUCUUGGGCACCUUCAAGACGUGUCAUAGUCCUCAAGUGAUGACUCAAUAAGUUCUGGCCAAGUCUCAGCAGUUUAUUACUAGUUAUCCUUUGGCUCAGGUAGUUGCUGGGAUGGUCGCUGCCUCUGAUUAGUCGUACAUUUCUGAAAUGUUUUUGGUAGUUUUUUUUUUAAUAGGAAAUUUGUAUCUUUUGGGAAAUGAAAAGGUCAAAAUAUGUAGUCAAGUACCCUGAGCUCUGAUAAUUAAUGCACAUAUCCACAUUAUUGAGUGCACUUUGGUAGUUUUCUUAGAGGAUGCUGUAGGGUUCUUGCAAUUCUCCUCUUAAAUUCUGACAUAUCUUCAUAUUUGCCGAGUUUUACAGUAGUAUCUUUUGGGUAUCAUAUCGUUACGUAACAAUUCAUUGUUAGAUGUAUAAAAAGAGAUAUCAAUCUUAGAUAAUUUCAAGUUUUUUUUUUUUUUUUUUUUUUUUUUUUUUUUUUUGAAAAACAGGUUUUAAAAGUUUAAAUUAUUGACUGCUGGGGUAAGAGUUUUUAAGUAAGGUUUUUUGGUAGAAUUUUUCCAAUAUAGUGUACCAAACGUGAAAAUUAUUGAUAUCACAAAGGUUGACACUAAACCACUAACGUGCGAAAAAUACAACACAUCUUGUCACUCUUUGAAAGUUGUAUCCCUAUAUACCUACCCUACCGUUGAAAGGCCAUAAAAUUGAGGCUCUGAGGAGCCAUCCAAGAAUUUGGCAAGCGGUUUAACAAGCAUAAAAGUCUUUGAACUGCAGGUAUAUAUAUGUGUGUAUAUAUAUAUAUUCCGACUAUGGUAGUAUCAACAAGCUAUAAGUGGUUUCUGAAGUAAACCACAACUGGAAUAAAUAAAUUAAAAGGGAAAAGAUCAAAAGAACUACCAUUUUCAACCAAGGAACUAAUCAUUUAUAAUCAUUUCUUAGUUCUGCAACCUUGAUAUAAUCCCAAUCUUACAAGGAACUAAUUGCGUGUUCGGCAACCUUGGAUCCUUAAGUUUUUCAAAAAUUAAUUUUUCAAAUACUAUAAAAAUUUUUAAAAAAUACUCUAAAAGGUAGUCUAAAUUUUUUUUAAUGUUUAAAAAAUAUCUCAAAAUAUAUUUUAAAAACUCUACUACUUUUAAAUAUUUAAAAAUAUUUUGAAAUAUAUUCUAAAAACUCUGUUACAGUAAAAGUUUUCAAAAAUAUCUCCAAAAACAACUAAUCCAAACAGAGCCAUAUUUAUUUACAGAAAGCAUCCUUUUUGGUGUCGUACCAUGAUGGUGCACAUCAGAUAUUGCCCACUGAUGCAUAUCAAAUCAUGUGUAACUUCUAACAGCACUCUUAAAGGAAAAGGGGCCACCUUCAAUAUUCUAUUGGAUGGCUUUCUCCCAGCCCAAAAAAAAAAAAAGUAUUUCUGUGCUUGGAUCAGAAUAUUUAAGAUUGAUUUUUGAUCUUCAAAAAAAAAAAAAAGAAAAAAGAAAAAAUUGAACUGCACCUGAAUUGCGUAGAUAACUCUAAAGUACUUGAAUCUUAUUAUGCUUUUAAUAAAUGCUUUGGUUCGUAUGUCAUCUGUUCUAAUUUAUAACCUAUUCUUGGGAUUCAUCUCAUUUCUGGGAGAAUUACAUUAAUCAUCCCUCAGGUUUUGACUCUAUAAGUUUUUCACCUCUUAGAUUAAAAUGAAGCAUUUGGUCCUUUAUAUAUCCUAGAAAAGCAGCAUAUUCUAGUCCCAGAGUUCAUUUGCCAAGAAAGAACGUGGACAAAUCAAGUGAGUGACAUGGGCAAUGAGGAAGCAUAAUAAGGGAAAAAGUUAGGGUCCUCCAUGGGUUUGAGUAAGCUUUGUUGUGCAUGUGUGUGUGUUCUCUCUCCCCCCCCCCCCCCCUCCUCUCUCUCUUAUGUUCUUCCUAAAAUGUUGUUCAAGAGAUGUACUCUGGUGAAAAAUAGACUAUAAAUGAAGUUUUGGACUAUAUCACAAUACUUAUAAAAUCUGAGGGACUAAAAUGCCUAUUUUAAGUGUGAGGGACUAUAGAAGUAUAAAAUACCAAAAAUAUGAGGGAUUACUUUAAUAAUUUAUCCUUCAACUUUUUAAAAUUGCAAAUGAUUACAUGAUUAGGUGUUGGUACAACAACCAGCUAUUCAAAUAAUUGAGCCUUAAUUACAAAUAAAUUACUCCCUCCGUUCCUUAUUAGAUGGCCUGAAUAACUAAUUCUCUUAGAUUAAGAAAGUUGGUUAUUUUCUAAAAGUCAACAAAAGUUUUACUUUACUUCUCAAAAUUACCCUUUAUCUCUCUUCAGCUAUACCUAAUUAAUACUACCUGUCAUUUACUCUCUCUCACAUUUCUCAAUCAAUAGAUUAAAUCUGAAAAUCUGAAUAGUUCCCACCAAAUUUGUUUUCAUAGAUCUCAAAAUUUGAAUAUUAAUGGAGUUGGUCAAUCCCAAUUUAUAGACACAUUUCAAUUUAAUUCUUCAUCUCUUCAACUACUUCUAUUGUUAAUGCUACAAAUACUGCAUUUAAUUAUUUAGAGUUCCAAUUCAAGAAAGUUGAAAGGGUAAGCAAGGGUAAAUUUGGAAAAAAGUUCAUAAAUGCUUUCUUGAUAUCAUAAAAUGACAGAUAAAAAGAAACAAUGGAUUAGGACAUCUAAUAAGGAACAGAGGGAGUACAAUCCAAUAAAAUUGAUCAAGGACAAAACUAGAAUUCGAGAUUUGCCAAAUCCCAUUAUUAGUUCAGAAGGGCCAUCUUAAAGUAUAUAAUUACAAACAUUUCGUGUCUCUUUCCCAGCAUAUCAUGUACUCUCCAUGGCCUUAAUGUCCUAAGUACAUAAAGAAAUAUACAAAAACAUGCGAAAAAGAUUGAUCAUUAAUGGCUUUUUAUUGGCUUGUCAUGUUCUAGACUACAGCCCUUUUUUGGUCUUUCUGCCAUCAAAGUGUUUUGAGCUUUCGUCUCAAAUAUAUAUUAUCUUGAAGGGAAUUAAUCACUAUAAAUUAGUUUAUCGAUUAUCAGUAUUAAGAUUGUUCCAACAAUUAAAGCAGCUUAAUUACCAUUAGAGACAAAUGCCGCUCUUUAAUAUUCUAUUGAGCCGCCCCCUUAUUGAUCGAGAAAAUGCCAUUUGCUCAUGAUUCUUACAUGCUUUUAUAGUAUUUCAAUAGUAAGUGAACAAAUGCACAUAUUUUAUGUAUUUAUUCAUGUGUGUAAACAUCAAGAAGAUUAGUCUUAUUGAUAAGGAAAUAUUACCCAUAAGGAAUAUUAAUUUGUCUUUAGCAGUAAAGAUGGACAGGUUAAGCAGUUCUUAUUACGCUAGUAGCUACGAUAGAUUGAAUUUUAGUCUUAAUCUUAGCUAUUGGUGUUUUAAUUAAGCUUUGCUUGUCUUGUACUGGUGACUACUAGGAAAAGUCUUAUGCACUGGAUAAAUAGUAUGAUCCAUCUAUAUUAUUGCACUAAUCUUUUGGUCUUCCUCAUAAGUCAUGAGAAUGAUAUAAGACCUAAUCUUCUUCAUGAAGCACAAACUACCAUAGUACAGAUUCAUUCAUUUCUAUUAUGUCAGCACAAAAUCAUAUAGUAUUAGAACAUCAAAAAGGGGUGUCAUCAAUGGUAGUGUUUUUUCUAAAAAUAGACGCCUGUAUUUUUAAGUCUAAUCCACUGGGAGGAGGUAUCUUAUAAUUGAUCUUUAUCUGCAGUCUGAAGAACACAAGGUUUAAGCUAGUUUCAAAUUUUUUUUUUUAAAUGGAGCUUGAAAAUGUUGCUAUGUCAGGGAUUCUUUAUUAUUCAAUAUUGAUACCUUGCACACAAGGCAAAUGAACGUCAAAGUUCAGAUUUUUUUUCCCCACUUUGUUUAAAAAAAUGUUACUAAUUUUAGCUCAAAUUAAGUCUUCAAUAGCAUAAUUUAAGUUCCAACUGGAGUUAGGAUUAGGACAUAGAAGAUGUCUGUCCUGUCAAUAAACAAGUCAUUAGGGGAGGAUUGAGUUGGAUGGUCUAGGCGGAAGAAUUGUAAAUAGGAAAUACAGGAAUCAAGACCUCCCACUUACUAAAAAAAAUGAAAAGAAAAAGGUUCUUUAAAAAUUCAAAUUUUAAAAAGGUAUUUUCACUGAAAAAUGAAAUAAAAUAAUGCGUGGUUUUUUAUUAAAAAAAGUCAUUUUCACAAAAGAAAAUGAAACAAAAUAAUGCAUGGUUUAUUUUAUUAAAAAAAAGGUCAUUUCCACAAAAGAAAAAGAAACAAAAUAAUGCGUGGUUUUAAUAAAAAAAAACAAGGAGGGGCAACAUCUAUUUUGAUCAUGAUAUCAAACUAAAACCUUGCUAAUAAUAAUUAGGUAAUGGGUUGCGGACAAGGACUCGGUGGCCUUUCAGUUUCAGUCUCCCACCAGAAAUACCUUGGCAACCUCACAAGUAACUUCGAGUUGGGUGGUGAAUUGUGACAUCCAUAAACCACAAUCGCGGAUUACCUAAUCAAUUAAAUGCUUUUUAUUGCUUGCCAUUAAGUAAAUUUGGUAGAAGGUCAUUACCAUUGGAUUAGGCCAUGCUUGCAUUUGAUCCCCAUAUAAUAUUUACUUAACAAUCAAGCAAUUUCAUUCCAAAAAUAACCUGAACGUAGUAUAAAUUGGACAAAAUUAUCCAAUCAUAAUUACUCUUAUGCUUCAACAAAAACAUGAAAAGUUAAUUUAUAAAUCAUCAACUGUCUUGUCUUUUUUUUUUUUCCUUUUUUUUUUGAGUUGAGAAUCUUUAGAAAUCUUUUCUACAUUUCAAUAAAACAAAUAUUACAAGUUAGUAACUAAAAUUUCACAAUGAUAGUGAUUCUCCUGUUUACAUGGAGUGAUCUAUACCUAGACUCGUGUGUACAAACAAGUAGCGAAAGGCCUCGUGCUAGCCAUGAAAGAAAUUUUCUGCUUGCUUACUCCAUGGGAUCCAUCAACUAUUGGAAACAAUUCAACAGAAGUACUAAUUCUGAUAAGUUUUAGACAACUACAGAUCUAAACACACAAAAAAAAAAAGGAGGAGAAAUUAAAAAGUAGCAAAAAAAAAAAUGUAAAAUUUAACCAGCUUUGACAAAGAUAAACAAGUACAUAUAACGAAGAGUACAAAGCAAGGAAAAAACGUAUCACGUAGUGCCAAACUUAUUAAAAUGUUUACCUUAACAAAGAAUCCUCAUUUUUUUUUUUUGUCAAAUUUAUACUUUACUCUUAGCAGAAAAAAACUCCUGUUAUAGCCUAUGAAACUUGUUCAGUACUUUGUUCUAAAUUUUUAUCAAUAUAGAAGUUUUUAUUGUCAACUUUGAAAGCCUAAUUUCCUUGGAUAUGGGAUUUUGAGCAUUAACUAAAGAAAUAUAUUGCAAUUUUGGGUAGCCUUUAAGAAGAUGAGGAUGAAAUUAGUAUCACAAAAUGACAUUAUGUUCAAAUUUCAUUCGUUACUCUCUUGAUCCUUUUUCCCUUCAUCUUUUAAUAUUGUUUAAUUAGUUACUCUCAAGUUUGCUAAACUAAUCUUAUUUUGUCCCUAAAUUCAUUUGUUAACAACCUUAAUAGCUCAAGGUACACAAGUAAAUUCGUCAUAUUUUAAGUCAACCGUAUCCCCAAAACAUUAUCAGGGAGGUCGGUAUAAUUUUAAAAAUCUCAAAAAAGGUCAGUGCAAGUGUCAGAAACCUCAGGACUCCUCCCAAGAGAGACGAGUACAUAUAAUGAAUAUAAAAAUACUCGAUGUGGCCAUUGUCUUGAGUAUUUGAGCCAAUGAAGAGUGCAAAGCGAGAAAAAAAAACCUAUAACGCAGUGCCAAACCAACUAAUAUUAGAACAUUUAUCUCGUGCGCGAGGAAAUUGAAGAAUCCAGCAGCCACAUUGGACUAUAAAUCUGUCAAUAUCUGUAAGCAUCCCUUAUCUGAAAUUGGCUAAAUGACUAUUUCCAUUUCUGUUAUCAGAGUCAGCUGCAUUAUGCUAUAUUUGUGACUGAGCACUCAAAUUUCUUGGUAACUAGAAAGGGUGAUAGCGAAAGUGAGUGAACGAGUCUCCGGUCGACUGAUUAGUCGGUGAUGCAAUGGAGCAAUAAGACUUUUGGCUUAGCAGACAUUUCAGUUUAAUUUUCUAAAGCUAGAAAGAAAGAAAUGUUUUUCAUGGUUAAUUUAUUACACCCUUUUAAUUCUCCAAAGUCAAAUCUGUUGACUUAUAGAUAAAUAGAGCUUGUGGUUGGUAAAACUUUUAAAUUUACGUUAAUUAACCUAACAAGUGCUACCACUAGCUUUAGUCAACUUCAUGUGUGAAUAUAAGAUUUCACACAACAAGUGUUAUAUUAAAAAAUGUUCGUAUGGUCUUUCUUUGACAUUGAGUUGUAGAUUUCUGCUUUAACUAAUCAACUUUUGAUGAUUGAGGGAUGAUUUCUCUAACCUUUGUUAGCCCUUAUUUGACUCAAACAUGUAUUAGUUUUUGGGAUUUAUAUUCGCUCUCGGAUUCAGUACCAGAGGAGGGAAAGAGGAAAAAUUCCUUCUUUUUCUUCCUAACAAGUAAUUUUGCAUGGUGAAUUAAGUUCAUCAAGCCCGUGUGUAGGUGGACAUUGUUUUGCAUACUGUACUUCGUUGUACAUACAAACGUAGACUUAAACAGGGGACCAAAAAAAAGAAACAAGUAAGGCCUGGACCAAUUAAUAAUAGAACAAAAAAUAAAGAGGGAUUACUCAUAAAGCUGUUGAUGAAAUUAAAAAUUAAAGGUUGGAUUGAAAAUAGAAGAAAAAGGAAGAAAAAAACCAAUAAUUAACAGUUAAUUUCAACACAGAUGUUACUAAUAGUGAAGUGUAUAUCAUAACAUGGAUUGACUGGAAAAUAUAGGAGACGACAACUUUAUAACAGAUUUAUAUACCAAUUUUUUUUACCUUUCAAUUCUUUUUACAUCCUAUUCGCCCUCAACUGUCAAGUUCAGAAUUUGAAUUGUAAACUUGACAGCGGGCCAACUCCAGUAAUUGGAUUUUAUAUGCCUAUACAAAGAAGAAAAGUGAAGAAAAUGUAAAUUAGUUCCUUUUACAUCCUUCGUUUGUCGAAUUGACACAUUUUACAUCACAAAGUAAAAUUUGUGGUAAAUUAACUCUCAAAAUGCCUUUAUUCAUCAAAGUGACAAAUAUCUGUACGAUCAUUUGAAUAUGGUACUAUACAAUCAUGGACAUGAAGUUUCAACUGUUCUAUGAAGAAUUUGAAAGUUAUCUGUUGAGUGUUACGUGUAAUAAUUUGUUGCAAAGUUUCUACAUCAAAGUGGGACUACUUAGCACGAGUGCUUCAAAUUUAAACCAACAUUGGUAUUAUUACGAGACAAAUAAUCACGAGCCAGGGUGACAAAAACACGUUCCAGUUUUCUUGAUCUGUCGAUAUGGUUCCAAUCUUUUGGAAUAGUCUUAAUGGCCUACACUGAUCAACUCGGAGGAUGUCCAUAAUAAUAUGUAAUCGUGCAUUACGCUGCAGAAUAAGAAAUUCACCAGUUUUAUGAGAAGAGAGAAGUGGAAAAGUUGCUGUUUUUUUUUCCCUUCUCAAUAGAAAGAAAAAAAUUGCUUCACCUACCUCUAGUGCUUGAAGAUUUUUGUGGCCGCCAAAGUUUUAUGUACUAGGAAUUUUAUAGUAACUUGGGCCCUGCAACUUUUCUGCUUUUCAUUCUAGAAUCAGUUACAUCCCAGAUGUACCAAGUUAAUGGAGAAUAGGAUAUGAUUCUCAAGAUCAUAGAAAUAGAACUAUAACUCAUACUUAGUUGUUUGAUGCCUUCGAGCCUUUGUUAAGCAGAGUCUUAAAGCCAAGUUUAAAUGAAAGUUCUGUCCAUAGGGCACCAAUAAUUUUCGAUGCCAGUUUUUGGCGAUGAACUGCAUAAAACAUUGACAUUAAGGAUUCUCCAACAGAAAACUCCUAAAAAGAAUUGCAACUUCAUCCAGAUUGUGGUGGAUACAGGUAAUUUUAAAAUUGAAAACUUGUAAACCUGAGGUCAUUGCAGCUUCAACCAGAUUGUGUUGAAUGCAGGUAAUUCUGAUGUGCCUCUAACAGUUACAAUAUGCUAGCCUUCUAAAAGUGAACGUUUUCAGCACCACUACCCCAGAAUCAGUCAGAGCUGCUCUAAGUUUAGUUACAGUGAAUUGUCUCCUUGGAACAAAGGAUAGAUCAAGGAGAAAGUCUUCGUGGAUCACGAGGGAAAAGCGAUAUUUUGCGGAUGUUGUUCAAGGCACAGAAAUGUAUAACCACACACGCUCCAAUCCUGCUCCAAAGUCCAUAGCCACCGAGCUGAAGAAUUGAGGUUCUUGAGUACGCUGAGCUGCAGAUGAUGAUGGAAGUAUCGAUGCAGGUGAUGAUAUUCAAGUAGAUCUAUUGGUGUAAACUGAUGCAUCUACUUGUCACCAUACAGGUUUAUUGUAUCUAAAGCUUUCAGGUAGCUCAUACUUCAAAAAAAAGUCGAAAAUUUUGAUUGUCUUUGUCUAGCUGUGCUGCAAAAAUUAUAAUUUCCAGCAUGUUAUUGACUGUUAAAAUUUUCAGAUUCUUACAAGCUAGAGUGGAAGGAGAGAAUAAAAAGAAUCAAAGUUGUGAAUAUUUAUUUCCUUCUUGUCUUAAUCAUUAGCUGUUUAUGGAGCCUAUGUCUCUGCAUAUCUCUCCAAAAAUCUGUUCAAUCAGGCAAGAAAUUUAACUUCUGCAAAAAUAUCUAUUACAUUGUGCCCUCAUGUCUGCGACUGAUAGGGUUUGUUUAAUCAGACCAAAUGCCAUCCAAUGGAUAUGCAAAAUUUGAUGAAGGAUUUCGUUCUUUGUUAAACAAGCCAGCUGAGGCUUGAUUUCUGCGUGUAACUAUUUUUGUUAUGGACUAAAUCAGCUUAGGGUGCUAAGCUUAAUUCUUGUUUUAGAGCAGUGUUACAUGGCUGUAGUUUGAUUGGACUAUAUAAAGCUUCACAAAUUCAUUUUUGUCGAAAGGCCAGAUGAAUUGGCGACUCAUGGCAUGUUUAAAAGAGACUUUCUUUCACGAGGGUGCUGAUGCCAUUUAAUGCUUGAUGGUUGUAUUUGAUCACUUACUGUUCAAUUCUCAAUCCCAUUUCAUGCUAGCAUAGUUUAGCUUGACUACACAAAUUCAGAUACACUGGUUGUACUUCUGUCCAAAAAAAAGUUUAAUAAUAAAUGUAUUGUAAGUCCUUUUUGUGGUAGGAAAAAAGUUUGGAUGGAUUCGAUUUCGAUCACUAUCACGUGGCAGUUUAAGUUGUGGUAGGAAAAAAGUUUGGAUGGAUUCGAUUUCGAUCACUAUCACGUGGCAGUGUAAGUCUAGAGAUGCAUAUGAAAUCACCACCACGCCCAGUGUAAGUUUAGAGGUGCAUACGAAGUGCUGCUCUCUCUCUCUUGCGUUUUCAUCCAAAGAAUUAGAAGAGUGUGUAUGAAGUUAUGAACAGACAAUUUAUUUUCCCCCACUGUAUGCAGCAAUGCAUCACGAGGGCAAUAAAUGAUUUAUUCUCUCUCCAAGCCAUGAGCUACCACUAUUUUCUGGAGGCCAAAUGCAGCACAGCAGCAAAACUUGUAGCAUUGAAAAUUUUGGGAGACAAACUGAUAUUCAUAACAACUUGUUCUUGUGACAAACACAAUGUACCUGAUUAAAACCAUAAUGACCUAUGUUGCAGCUGGUUUUUUUCCGGUUUAGUUUGAAAAGACUUUGAGAUACCACAACAUCUGAAGUCCUAAUACGCUCAGAAAAUUGGUCUCAACCCUAUAACAGAAUGGGCACGGACAGUUGUCAAUGACAAUCAUCCGGAACAGUGUGAGGAUUUUUGAACUGAUUGUAAUUCAAAUUGAAUUACUUAUACAUCCUUAUAACCGAGGAUGUAAUAUUAUGCAUGGAACUCAAAUGAACAGUAACACAAUGUUACACUUUAGUUAUAAGAAUGUAUAAAUUAUUCAAUUUGAAUUACGACCCAUUUAAAAAUCCUUAUACCGUUCCGGAUGGUUAUCACACACAAUCGUCCGUGCCUCUGGUCCAAACAUUCCCAAUUGCUGGUGAUGCGAAAAUGAUAAAAUCAUACCCAAUUCAUCACUUUUAAUAGGCCUAUUUCUUGACAGAGAAAAAAAAAAAGGUGCUGGUAGAACACUAGUCUUACUUAUAUAACUUAAACUAACAAAGGUUCAAGAUUUAGAGCUGAUUUGGAUUGUAAAUUUUUGGAGUUUUUUAAGUAGAAAAAUAUACUGUAGCAGCAAUGUAAUAAUCCAAAUAGGCUCUUAAUAUUUUGCCCUUCUAAAUUCGGGUUCGACCAUCAUUUUUGCAACUUAGAUGUAUACUGCAACAAGUUUCAGGAGUUAAAAGAAGCGGGAACAUGAACAAACAUAACUGCCAGACCAAAAAAGGGAUGGAAUUAACUGAAAAUAUGAAGAAAAAGAAAAAUAAAUUUUACAGCUUGAAUUUACAAGUACCAAAGACCGGCCAUGGACAAAAUCACAAAAUACAGAAGGGAAAAGGGACUCACCAAAACCAAAAUACAAAGUCCAAACCAGAGCUCCAACCCAAACCCCCACGUCUGUGUUGCCUCUGCCUCACGAAGCUCCAUCAUUUGCGUAGCCUCAAUUGCUUUGCAUGCCGCCCAAAACUCACUUGAGAUCCUCGGUGACAUAUUUUGAGUGCCAAUCCAAUGCCACCUCUAAUAUUGUGCCAAGUGUCAUAGUAAUUCUUGGUCAUUUGAAGCAGUACAAAUAAUAACAAGACACUUGGCGCAAUAUUAGAGGUGGCAUUGGAUUGGCACUCAAAAUAUGUCACCGAGGAUCUCAAGUGAAAAAAACUAGCCAACUUCAAUUCCCACGUACUACCACUGGGCUCCAUCCCCGACCCCACCAACACUUUCCAUCUCCCCAACCAAAGAAUAAUAUUUAUAGGUUAAUCACAAUUAAUCGCCUUAAAGUAUACCUCAUUUUUUAUUUUACCCCCUAACCAUUUUUUGGUCUCACUUUAUCCGUAAUUGGACAAAAUUAUCCCUCUAUUAUUCUAAACUCUUAUUUUUCUCUUUUAUUUUUUUUCCUUUACCCUUGUGUGCUCUUUCAUUUUCUUUGCUUCUUUCUUUAAUUCUUUUUCUUUCUCACAAAAAUCUUCAUCUUAAUGAUUAAAAUUAAAAAGAGGAAUUGCAAUGAUCUCUCUUCUCCUUAAAUGUUUAAAAAAAUUCAAAUCACUUUCCUAAAAUACAAUUUUUUUUUGCUUUUCAAUUCUUUUAAUUUUGAUUUUUCCUUUUUCCUUUCUAGUUUCUCAUUUUAUUCUAAAGAAAAUAUGAUAAGAUAUAAUUGUGACCUGAUUAAUAAUCAUCAAUUGAAAUUUGUGACACGUGACAUCAUACAAAAAAUUAAAAUUAGUUUUUAAUUCCUUUUAAAUUUUCAUCCAAAAUUGCAAUAACAAACUCAAAAUAAAAAUUUUCGUUGAGAUGGAGUUUUCUAUUGAGAAGGAUGAAAGAGAGAAGAAAAAGAAAAAGAAAUAAAAGAGAGGAAAAAAGGUAAUUGAAAAGUCAAAAUAAUGGAAGGAUAAUUUUGUCCUAUAGGAGGUUAAGUGAGUAAAAUUAAAAGUUAGGGGAUAAAGUAAAAAAUAAGGUAUACCUUAAAAGGGAUUAAUUGUGAUUAAUCCUAAUAUUUAAAGAUAAAACUUCCGGAACAGGUAAAAGAACCGUUUACAUAAGCCUAUGAAGGUUUUGCAUUCAUACACGAUAGUACAACGUUGUACUCUUCCAGUCUCCUCAAUAGCAGCUACAGUACUACUGUUACUUGCCAACUAUGGCAACUCAUUCAUGCUCUCCAGCUAAGCCCUUUCUUUUCUCCAUUUUCUUCGUUAUCUUCCUCCAUCAUUUCCUUCACCACUGGGCCGUGGCGGCGGCCUACGCCACCGGAGUUAACUACGGCACUGUCGCUGACAACCUUCCUCCACCAGCCCAAGUUGCAUCCUUCAUCAAAGACCAAACCUCCAUCGACAAGAUCAAAAUCUUCGACGCCAACCCGGACAUUAUUCGAGCCUUUGCCAACUCCAACGUCUCCCUUACCAUCACCGUCGGAAACGGCGACGUCUUGGCGGUCUCCAAGCUCCCCGCCGCCCGGUCAUGGGUCUCCGCCAACGUCUUACCUUACUACCCACAGACAAAAAUCCACCGUAUCGCCGUCGGCAACGAAGUCAUCGCCACCGGCGACAGGAUUCUCAUAGCCCACCUCGUUCCCGCCAUGAAAUCCGUGCACGAAGCCCUGAGGCUGGCCGGAAUUUCCGAUAUCCAAGUCUCCACGCCGCAUUCCAUGGGUAUAAUGUCAAGGUCCGAGCCUCCUAGUUCGGGUCGGUUCAGGCGUGGGUAUGAUCGCGUCAUUUUUGCUCCGAUGCUGGAGUUUCAUCGCCGAACCGGGUCGCCUUUUAUGGUUUGCCCGUACCCGUUUUUCGGGUUCACCAGCUAGACUUUGGACUACGCUUUGUUUAAGCCAAACGACGGCGUUUUUGAUAACGUAACUGGCGUGAAUUACACUAACAUGUUCGAUGCCCAGAUGGACGCCGUUUUCUCUGCGAUGAAGAGGCUCGGGUAUGAUGACGUGGACAUCGUUGUCGCAGAAACGGGUUGGCCUUCUGCGGGUGACCCGAAUCAGCGGGGCGUGAGCUUGGACAAUGCCAUAUCUUAUAAUGCUAAUCUUGUCAGGCACGUGAAUUCGGGUUUGGGUACUCCUUUGAUGCCGAAUCGGACCUUUGAUACUUACAUUUUCUCGCUGUUCAAUGAAGAUCUCAAACCCGGCAUCUCGGAGCAGAAUUUCGGGUUGUUCCGACCCGAUUUCUCACCCGUCUACGACGUGGGUAUUCUGCGGAACCAACAGGUACUAAUUGUUGAAAAUUAUGUAGAAGUCCAAAUGGUCUUAAUGACGACUUAAUCAAAUCGAAAACUUUAGUAAUUCAAUUUUGAUUGUUUAUCGACCCAAAUUUAACGAGUAUUUUUUAAGUCGAAAACUUUAGUGUUUAAUUUCGAUUGUGUAUCGAGCCAAAUUCAACAAGUUUUUAUCAAAUCGAGCUUUAGGCGAAUUUGAAAACUACAAAUUUAGUCCAAUUUUUUUGCAAGUAAAUUUUAGGAUUUAUGCUUAUUGACCUAAAAGCCAGCUGAAUUUACAACUUUGGCAAAUACAAUAAUGGUCAAUUUACAAUUUCAUGUUUUCCUUUAUUAAGUGGAUGAAUUAAAAAUUCUAUGCGUUCUUAUGAGUUUAUUUCAGUAUCAAAUAAUUUGGUUUGAUUUUUGAUUCUAAAAUUUGUGACUUGUUGAAUUGCUGCUUUUUUUAAAAUUUUUUUUACGUUUGUUAUCAAUAUAUUUUUUAAUUUCAUAUAUAUAUAAUUAUUAUAAUAUAUUUUUUUAAAAUUUUCUAAAAAAUAGCAAUUCAAACGAGUUGAUCCGCAAUUGGCAAGUUUUUUAAAUUCUUUUCUUCUCCACGCGGGAAAAAAUCUGACAAUUUUGACUUUCUAAGACUUCUCCUCGUCCUGGCAAAUAUUCUCUGUUGCCAAAUGGAAGCAAAGAACUUACAUCACGACCGUUGAUCACAGGGCGUGGGGCCUGCACCAGUAACGCCAACAGCACCAGAUGAUAAAAAGUGGUGCGUCCCAAAAGAUGAUGCUAGCGAUGGGGCUCUGCAGUCCAACAUAGACUAUGUUUGUGGGUCCGGAGUGGAUUGUCAGCCCAUUCAAAACGGUGGGCCUUGUUUUGAGCCCAAUACUGUCAGGUCCCAUGCAGCCUACGCCAUGAACGCUUAUUAUCAAGCCCAUGGCCGGAAUGAUUAUAAUUGUGACUUCAUUGGUACAGGGGCCAUCACCACAACUAAUCCUAGUAAGUUUAUAAUACCACUAUAGAUUUUCUUGAUAUAAUUUAUUUAUUUAUUUAUCCUAUUCAGGGAAAGUUUUCAAUGAUAAUAUUUUAAUUGCAAUUGCGUAGUUAUUCUAGUAUCAUGGGAGAAUUAAAGGGUACAUUGUUGCAGGUUAUCAAGAAUGCACCUAUGUGGCUUAGGAGGAAGGAAGAGACAAUGGCACAAUGCCUCGGUCUUCUCUACUGCUGUUCCCAUGCUGGGCAGUUGUUAUAUAUAGCCAAUUCUUUAGGUAUUUUAUAAUUAUAGAGAAGGCUAUUUGUUAUAAUAUUUUGAGUAGGGAUUUGAACUUUUGAUCUGCUGGGCAGUUGGGUGGCACUAGGGAGGGGUGUAAUUGAGAGGUUUUGGGUACGGGGAUGGGAGCGUAAGGAUGGGUUGGGUGGCACUAGGGAGGGGUGUAGGUGAGAGAUUUUGGGUACGAGAAAGGGAGCGUAAGUGGGGGACCAAAGCCAAAUCGAGAACAAGAAUGUGAUAAUUUAUUUCUGCCUUGAAAAUAGAUCUAAGCAUGUAAUAUGUAUCUACAUGCGUGGGAAUAAAUGAAUAUCUUCAUUACCUAGGAGCUUCACUUGGAGUGAUGAUGAAUAAUUUCUUUGGAUAAGAGCAAAAGAGGACAUAAAUGUAGACCAAAUCCUCAAUUAGUCCCCUAACAAAGUGGUCAAUUGUUAUUUGUCAAAGCAAGAAUGUACAAGUUUAUCCUUUAACAAAUUGCCAUCUACUAAGGCAAUUUAUAAUGGUAAUACCUCGCAUCCUUCCUUGUAGUCAUCGUUAAAUACACAAAAUUUAUAAUCAAAAGAAAAUUCCGUAUUGGGAUUGAGAUUUCACAUCUUGAAAAAAAAAGAAGUAGAUGAUUCGAAUAUUACAAAUUUAAUAUGAAAUUCAUCUAGAGCCAAUAAUCUAUUUCUUUGGUUGAGAGAAAUCAAGAACAAGAAGCAGAGAAUUAAUAUAUAUUAAUAAAAAUAAAAACAAUCGAUCAAUCUAUGGUUAUAUGUACAGCUUACAACCAAUGGUAUCAAAAUUAGGUUACCAGCUUUGGUUAAAGAAUUUGAUUAUAUACAACUUACAAGUUUUUCCAAGAUAAGACUCCUAGCUACAAAGAACUUUUAAUAUUUAUCUCUAAUUAAGAAAAAACCCUAGUGAUUAAUCACGUAACAUAAACACUCUGGCGACAUAUUGGACAGGUUGCAUUAGUCUUUAACCAUUUAUAAAUGCAAACUGCAUGAAAUCCAUGCUUGCACCUUGGAAGAACCCUCCACAAGUAUGGCAAAUCAUCUCUGCAACCAGACAAACAGAUUCUGCAUUGAUCAUCAUCAGAUCCCUGGAAACUAUUAUCUCCUGAUUCAGAAACAUCCCUUUUCUUCUUGUUUAUUUUUCGUUUUUCUUUUCCUCCAAAGAUGUUAUCUUGAGCGCCAUCGGCUGCGACUUGGGUUGAGGCCCGGCAGAAGCAUUGGCAACGCAUCAAUAGAAUCUGUAUAUACUAUACUGGGGAAAGCUUUCGGCAGAACAAAUCGAGGGAUUGAAUUUUUUACGGUUCAUUGAAAUGUAAUGGACUCUAAGGAAGAGAGAGAUCGAAGGCAAAUCUGCCGAUCAGCUUCUCAGAAGGAGAUAUUGCAAGCAAAGAGAACGAAUUACCCAUGUUUCUUUUAUCUUUUUCUGUUAAGCAGGAAUAUUUAUCCUUGUUUCACUAAAUAUAUAAACCAAAACAAGUGCCCUAAUGCUUUUUGGUUUAGGGUUCUCUUCCAGGCUAAUCGGCCCAUGUUUGCUAAUACUAACUUGACUUGGGGAUAUUCAAUUAUCUAUAGGCCCACGAUCUCCGAGGAUUAAUGGAAUUUUAUUAAUUAUGAUUUUCUCUUGUAAUCUCAAGUUUUCAACUAAAUACGUAUUUUUAAUGAAGAAUUAGUGAAAAAUACAAAUAAAAAGUACGUAUAGGGAUUUAAGAAAAUUUUGCAAAGACUAAUUCUUUAUUUGAUAAUGUUCAACAAAUGUGUACGAUUACAAGUAUUUCCAAGAAUAUGGUAAUUUUUCACAAGUCGAUCCAACAUUUACUUUUUAAUGCUAAAAGAAAACCAUGAAUUAGUUAGCUAAAACGAGUUCUUAAUGCUUGGUCCUGAAUCCAAAUUAUUUAUGUCCACAAACUCUUGAUUUUGUGUAGCCAUAAUAGAAGCCAUGAACACGACUCAAGGGUUGGCUUACCAUUCCCUGUGCUUGUAAUUUGGUGCAUGAAACCAUACACUCGAAGAAAAGCAUAGAGAAAAUGGGUAACAUUCCCACGCAAAUUAUAAAAAGGCUUAGUGUGGCUUCUGGUCGUAAUUUAUAUGGGGAGAGAUGUAGAUCUAAAGGGGACAAAAAAUUUUGAGGAAGUAUGUUAUGUUUUUUAAUUGGUGAAAGACAAAAAAAAUAUUAUAGUAUACGAUGAUUUGACUUUGGAAGGAAAGAAUUUAUAGAAUUUAAAGUGUCUUCAGGAUGAUCCUAAUGCACUUAAGGUUUGGUUGGCAUCUGAGAAAUACAAUUACAGAAAAAUAUUUAGACAGAAAAAUAAGGUUUCCUCACAUAUAUUAAAUGGUUACAAUACAUUUUUUUACAAAAAAAAAAAUCUUAAAAAUAGCAGUACAAAUGGGAGAGUCGCACGAUAUAGCAGCGAGAUACUUUGUUUUUAAGGCAAUUAAAGGGACACAAUACGUCGAAGUGGAUACAAGCUCAAAUUUAAGCUUAAACUUCAAUAUUUACUGUAAGGGUGCAUUUGGACUGCUAUAAUGUUAUCUCCUCUCCGGAUUUUGAAUUUGAACGAGUUACUCAGAUGUAUAACUUUCUUAGAUGCUUCACUUUUUCAAGAUAAAAAAAUUUCAACAUUUUUCCAAUAAGCCAAUUUCAUAUGUUCGCUGAUUACGUGUGGUGUGUAUAAUGAAUAAAAUACCAGAGUGAUUGUUCUAUUACCCUGUACUUGAUCACUUGAUUGGAGUCUAAUUAUCUAAUCAUGGCUAGAGUUGGAUGAAUAAUUUUAUUUCUCAGGAGAAUAAAUGGUUCGAUGGUUGGAUCAUGGUUUUGCAAUAUCCAUUUAAAUCCUAUCCAUUUAGAUCCAUUUAUUAAAUGGUUAUAAUGGGAUUGGAUUAAUUUUAUCCAUUAUCUAUUUAAAUAAAACUAUUUAUCAAUCAUAUAUCCAUUUUGCCACUUCUAAAAUUUUAACUGUACUAGCAGUUUGUUACUCUUAGUAAAAUAAAAAAAAAUUAAAAAGUAAAAUGAGUGAUUAGAGAUAUCUAUGUUGUAUAUACCGUUUAAAUUGUUGAAAUUAUGUCAAAUCCUCUAAGAUAUUGGUCAAAUAUCAUCUUUUCAAUUGUUAAAAUUUGAUGAUUUCACUAAAAUUUUCACUAUUCAUUUGAGUUGAAAGAAGACAUAUUUAGACUCUCGUUGGGAGAUCAUAAGGAGAGGGUAAGCAUGCAAGAUAACAACCUGACUUGGAAUGAUAGAAAUAGAAUAAAUGAAUUCAUUUACCGUAAUAUCCUUCUAGAAAUCAAUGUUAUAAAUUUAGCCUUCAUUUUACUAAUAUUUAUAAAUUCUAUUUAUUGCUCCAAUACUGACAUCUACUUAUAUUUUUCUUGGCUAAUGACGUUGUUUUUAGGUAUAAAAACUUAAUGUUAGUGUAAUCACCUUAUGAGUAUUGAUAAAUUUGGUUGAAUAUGAUAAUAUCAAUAUUUAAUUUGUCAAACUUUGAAAUCUAAAUUAUAUAUAGAGCUUGAUAAAAAUUUUGUAAAAUAUUAUAUGCGUGCUUUCAAUGUAAAAAAAUAAAUGGGUAAAAGAAAAAGAAGAAAAAUACAAUAUCAUGAAUCUAACAACUAGCAUUUCGCAAAAAAAAAAAAAAAAAUUCCAGUACUUUUUGAAAGCAAAAUAGUAUAGUGGAAUAAAUAAAGGUUUAGAAAAGUUUAGUGACUAUUGAGUCACUUUGCACGAAAAACUUUUUGAAAGCUAAAAUAAAGAAUGGUUGGAAGAGAAUCUUCUUUAAAAAGAAAAUUUUAAAUACAAGUUAUCCUUGCAUUCCUAAGUGUUUAGGAAAAAUUAUUGAAGUACUUUAACAAGAAAAUAACUUGCAUCAUAAAAUAACAAAAGAAAAACUAAAAUCCUUUACAAAAAUGGUGUAUUAAUAUUGUAGCAACUUCUGAUUUAUUAAUAUUGUAGCGAAUCUACAGUAGAUAAACAGUAAUACAUAAAAAUUACUAGUACAACUUCACCAAUCAACAUAAAAAUGAUGAUGAAAAGGAACUAUGGUGGGCGAAGGAGAGAGAAAGGUUUCAUAAACGAGUUGACUUCUUUAUUUCUUGCAUGUGUAAUUUCUAAGGUAUGUUUUCACUUUAUUGCUCUUAUUUAUUCUACCUACUGUGGUUAUCAUCAUUUAUCUUGUGGUCUAAUUCAUCCCUGGUGGAUGGGUCUUGCUGGUUAGAUAAAAUAUCCUAGAUAAUGAUAGUUGCAUUCUAUUUCAAUUUAGUAUGAACCUUUAAAUGGUCUCUAGAGAAAUUUCAAGAAGGGUUAUUAUCACUUUACCCCCAUAAACUAUAUCACUACUAUCAGUUUACCCCCUAACGUUAUCUUUUAAUCACUUUACCCCCAUAAGUAAUUCAACUCAACAUAUUAAAAAAUUUUGAACAAAAAUACCCUUUUAUUUUAGAGCAUUGCUACAUUGUUAUUAUCAAUUUAUUCGUUUAGAUUAUAGUGAUACAAUCACUUUAGUUCCUAACAUUAUUUUCUAAGCAUUUUACCUCAUCGUUAAUCUAACUAGUAUGGUCAAAAAUUUUAAAUAUAUUUACCCUUUUAUAUAUAAUUACAAAUAAAAAGGUUGGAAUGGUUAUUCUUCUUUUUUUUUUUCACUUUAAGAGAUUGAAAAACAUAAAAAUAAAAGGAUUUUCUCAAAUUUCUUUUUUUCACACUUAUUAAUACUAGGAAAAGAAAAAGAGAUAGAAAAGAAAAGAAAGAAAAUUAGAUUUUGCAAAGAAAGAAAAUAAAGAAAAGUCUAACAUUAUCGUAUUACAUCAAGGUUGUCGGGAUUAGGAUUAGAAUUUAACAGAAAAGUGAAAUAAUUUUAAAAUAAUAAAAGUAUUUAAUUCUUUCUUAUUUGUAAUUUUUAAAAAAAGAAUUGAGCUCUCUCUCCCUCUUCCCUUCCCCCUCUCCAUCUUUCUAUUCUUUUUUGAUAUUAAUAAGAUUGCCAAGAAAAAAUAAAUUAAUAUUUUGACUUUUUAUCUUGACACUAAAAAGGAGAAGCGCCACUCUAAAUUUUUUAUUAUUAUUUUCUUCUGAAGUUUUUUAACUUGUUAAGUUGGUUUAAUGGUAGGAUAAAUUGGCUAAAAAAUAAUUCUAAGGGGUAAAUUGAUAAUGAGACUGUAGUUUAUGGGGUAAGGUGAUAAUAAAUUUAAGGGUUAAACAUGUCUUUUUACUUUAAUUAACAAACUCCAUUAAGUUUGACCGUUAGUUUUGGGGGUAAAGUGACUAAAAGAUAACGUUAAAGGGAAAAUUGAUAGUAGCACCAAACGUUAAGGGGGUAAAGUGAUAAUAACCCUUUCAAGAAAUAGAAUUUAUCUUCUAUUAAUAAUUAAAAGAUGACAAUUACCAUUUUAGUUUAGUUAAAACAAGAAAAUUAAUUGAUUUUACAAAAGUAUUUGCUUCAUUAUGUUUUAGAAUUUUAAAAUUGCUCAAUUUCACCUUAACUAAUUAAAACAAUCCAUUGGAUAUGUAUUUGAUUUUGUUUUAGAGUUUUAGCUUCCUAUAGCAAUCAAUACUCUAGUACCUUAAGAGCCUUUUUUUUUAUGUAGUAAAAGAAUGUUACCAUUGAGGAACUUAAUUAUUUUUAUGAAAAAAUUCCCUCCGUGACUCCAAACAAAGAAUUAUAAUUGAUAAAUUUCAACCUGACUAAUGUUAAUACUAUAUGAACUUAUAUCACUUACCAUAAUAAUUUUUUCUCUAAGUUUCAUUAUUAUGUCAAUUGAACGGCUUCUUUGAUCGCUCUUGGUUUACAUGUCAAGCUUCUAAUUUUAUGAAAUCUAAAUUAUCUUCCACUAACAAUAAUUUUAUAAUUUUACUAAGCUAAAUCGGUCUUCUAUGGAAUGAUUUACUAGGUAGGAACACUAGGUAAUAAGGUUACACAAUUUAAGAGUGCAAUCUUGGUCUUCUGUGUAAUUGGCUGGUAAGAUCUUCAUGUUAAUUGGCUAGUAAGUACCAAUUUAAUAGGUAAGAAUAGGAUCAUUAAGUAGAGAAAAUAAGGUCCUACCCUUUUUCCUCCUCUUUUCCCUUCCCAUAUUGUAAGGUUUGGGCUUCCCCUUGAACAAAGAAAAGUAAUUGAGUCUACCUACCGAAAAAAAACCCAUCAAAUUGCUCCAGAAAGACAUAAUCAAUUAACAAUCCAAUUGAGGGAGAGAUGGGUUGGGAUCGUCGGGUGGUACCGAGAAGAAAGCGUAAGUUCGAAACUUCUUACUUAUACUAAAAUAAUAAUAAUAAUAAUAAUAAAAUAACAAUCCAACCUAAAAAAAAAAAAUUAACAAUCCAACCUUGGACCUAUGUUAUACAUACGACUAAUACGAUGUCCAAAAUUGAACACUAGCCCUACAUACUGGACAGAUUCUGUUUCUUUCCAACCAUGCAUAAAGACAACCAGAAUGGAAACUAUGCUUACACCCUGAAAGACCACUCCACAUGCAUGGCAUCGGAUCAUCUCUCAACUGAGAAAGACAUAUUGCACAAAAAGAAUUUGUGAUGCUUCUAUUUGCAUCUAGGUCUUCUUCAUCAAAAUAGAACAUAUAAUCUGCUACUAAAUUCCUUCUAACGGGGUUCUGUUUUUGGGUUGCCUUCUCAGACCUGCGUUGCGAACGGCUCCGAGUUUGUCUAUCUGCUGCUUCAUGGUUGGAGCAGAAGUAAGAAACUGCAGCAUAUAAGCCGAUUGAUAUCCCCAGCAACAAGAAAAAACGGCUGUUAUCCAUGAGGUAGAAUAGACCAAAGGAGAUUUUAAACACAAUAGUCUUAUAUAAUAUAGGCCUUCUAUAAAUUUUCAAUGCUUGACUUAAUUCCAAUGGUAAUUAUGGAAUUGGCGUUGGGUGAAGGAAAUUUUACUGCAGUUUUCUAACUUAAUUUGGUGCAAGACUUGGUGAACAAGAAAUAAUUAAAAUAAAAACCCAUUGAAAAACUCGCGAAAACGUGGUGAAUAUGAAAAAAUUAGAAGAGUCAACUAGCAAAAGAACUACCUAAUUCCUAUAUUGUUAAAUUACACAAAAGUUUACCCUAACAGAACUCCAAAAUAUUUUGUACUUGUGGGAUCUUGAUAUCAAUGAUAUUCUAAACUCUGAAAGAAAAUUGGAAUAAAAUUCCAAAAAAAUUAAAUUGGAAAGAAAUUUCUACACUUGGUUUAAUAGAAGUGCAUCUGUAUUUCUACACGUGCAUAAAACAUAUACAAGUUGAGCAAGAGUAAAUAGUUUUAAAUUUUUAUUUUUAUUUUAUUUUUGAUAGUACUAAACUUUUUUUUAUUAAUAUGUUUGAAUUAACUUAGGCAGAGGUCAAGGCCAUCACAUGUAUUAGCACAAGGACUUAUAAUUCUUGUUUUAUAAAGCAAAUAAGGUACAAGUUGGUUGCAACUAAUAAUACCAAUUACAAUACUAAUACACAAAGAGUACAACUCUACAAAAACUUUUAGGGAUCUUCUCUAAAACACUAGAAGAAUAAAGACAUAACAUUCAAAAUUCAUCACAAUUCUAAUCCAAAGAAAUCCUUAAUUAUUGAAUAAUUUUCCGACAAAGAGGACAGGUUCUACUAAUCUUCAACCAAUGACGAAUACAAUCCGAAUGAAACCUAUGCUGCAACCUGCGACAACAAUCCACAUGCGCAGGGCACAAUCAUCUUUGGUUCCCGACAACAAAUUACUGACAGGUGUCAAACUUGUAUAAUAAUAAUUACCUACUCAAUUAAAAUACAAAUUUUGUAUAUAGCGAUGCGCAGGGUCGAAUCUAUAGGGAUUGGAAAAAAUUUGUUUCUUCUAGAGUCCGAAAUAAGGGGGGUUUUUACAAAAAUGUGAAUAAUUAAACAAAUCAAAUAAAAAGGCCUAAUUGAUAAUUUAACUAAAAAUGAAACAAUAAUAAAUAAACUCUAGCUAAGAAAUAACUUUGGAAAUGAUUCACUCAAUUGAUCAUAGAUACAAUAAUAAUUUCAUUCACUCACUGAUAAACAAGUUAUAACUGCCAAAUAUACGAUGACAAUCAACUUCUCCUUAUUGUUUCAGUGAUCAAAGUACGACCGUUAAUCACUUCAGACCCUUGAUAUUCACAUAAAAUAACAACCAUAAGAAAUUAAAUUAGAGAACAUACCGAAAAAUUAAAAGAAUAAAUAAAACUAAUCUGAUCUCAUAAUUUCAGAUGAACCAAAUCCUUCAUUGUUCCUUGACUAGAAUGGCAAGCUUAAUUCGUCGUCAUGGAAAAAGCUACGUGCAAAAUAUUGAAAUUUAUUGCUGCGGCCAUUCUCUAAUUGAGAUGAAUUCCCCAAGAAAAGAAAAACGAAUUCCGUUCUCUUGUUUCUUCCUAAGAAGAAACGAGACCUCACUACUGACUAGUCUUCCCUUGUAGAAAAGAAAGGAUAAAGAAACGAUAGUCUCCUAGUCUUGGUUCCUAAUACUAAUCAACUACUACUACUUAGCGGAAUCAAAUUGUAACAAAUCAAAUCUUAUUCCAACAAAAACGAAACGCCUUAGUAGACAAAAUAGACUAGCAUCCUAGUAGGAAUAAAACACUAUCCAUUUGGUGACACAUCCGACCCUUGUGACUUGAAUUCGAAUUUUGGAGAUCACGUGCCAAAUUUCGAGCUCCCCAGACGUGCAGAAUUAGAUUUUGAUAUGUCCACGCCAAAUUACACAAAAAUUAAUUAAAAUUCAUAUUUUUAACUCUUUUUCGCUCCGAAUCCCUACAAUCAAUACAAUUAUCAAGUAUAAGUAAAAUCUACUAAUUAAUGCAAUAUUUGGUAAAAUAAAAGGAAAACAAUCAUGAAUUUUAUGGCAAAAAUGCAACCUAUCAAUUACACAUUCCCAACUGUUGGAGUCAUUGUCAUCUUUGGAUUUUGGAGGAGGGGUUUCGCUUUCGACAAUAUCCAUGUUCAUGGCCGUAUCCCAACCGGAGGCCUGAUGUUGCUGCGGCGGAGUUCUCCGGAUGCGAUCGUAUAACUGACGUAACAACAUGAAACUAUGAAAGCGGACGCCACUAAGGUGAGCCUGGGAAAAAUAAAUAUGUCCUCUAAAAGAGCAAAGAGGCCUAUCCUUAGUGGCGCCCGCUUUCAUGUGCUCGGAUGCAUGCCUAAGAUGUGUUAAUUUAAUAUUUGUCGGUAAAUCUUCAUAAUCAAGGAACAAGUACAUAAUUUUUCUUUUUUUUGGAAUUGGUAUAGAAGGGCGUAAAAGUGAUAACCACAAAGGAUUUUCCUUUUGCUUUUGAAGAUAAAUGCAAUUGAAAUUGUAGAGGUUACAUCACUAUAUGAUAUUUGCCAUUGAUUAUGUCACAUUCAAAAGAGUUAAUUUCAAUCUGAAUGCUAGUUUUAAAAUCAUGACCUAUUAUCUUUUUGUUGAUUUGCGAGCUCCUUGUGACGGUAAACACGUACACUGAUUUUUUCACGACCACAUAAUUGUGAUAAAAUGUAUAUCGAUUGAUGCGUGUUUAAAAUGUGUGUAAAUGUGGACAAAAAAACUUUUUGCCUGUGAUUUUUUUUUUUUCGAUUUGGUUUAAUGCAUUCGCAAAAAUUCAAGAAGAAGGUCAACAUAUUCCUUGCCUUUGUGAGAAAAAAAAAGGGAUAUUCCUUGUCUUAUCCUUCAUUUUCCUUUUAAUCAAUGUACAGUACUCAAAUAUUCAACUUAUAUGCCGCAGCAGUCUGGUCUAAUUACUAAAAUCGAGAUCCAAAAAAUUGAAAGUUCUAAAUUCAAAUCCCCCAUUCCUCUCUUCAUCUCUUAAAUUUUCCCCCUUCCUCUUGCUUAUUUAUAUGAGUGAAUAUCUAUGAUUAUAAUUUUACUAUAAAUUACCUUUUUGGGUUAAAUUACUUAUAACCUCCCGUGAUUUUAUAUAACGCCAAAUGACCCCUCUAAGGUUUAAAAUAGCCACAUAACUUCCUAUGACUUUAUGUAAAGUGAAAAAUGAACGAAGUGCAUAACCAAUUUCGGCAUUUAUACCAAACGUGCUCUAAAAUCUUGUGUGAUAAAAGUUUAAUCUCAAUGUAACCCCUUUAUGAUUUGUAUAAAUAUCUACUUUAUCCUUUAUGAUAUUUACAUUUAUCCACGUAGUCCCCCCAUACUUUUAUACAAAGUAGUUAACUCGUCAGUUGACUUAGCAUUUAAGUAAGUGCAUUAUUGAUAUUCAAAUUAACAACAUUCCACAGGAUAUCUUUCAUCAAGUCUCCAUUUACAUAAAACUAUAGGGGUGAAGUAGACAUUUUAAAACAUGAAACGUUAUAAGGGUUAUAUGACAAUAGAUGAAAUCACAUGAGGGUUAUAUGUAAUUUACCCUUUUUUAUCACUUUAUGAACUUUUAUGUAUGAGCAUUUUUUUUUUAUGAAAAUGAAAAAAUCACUUUAUUUGGAACAUUAAAUGAAUGAUGGAAUUUUGACUUGUUUCAAAUAGACGAUUACAUUCACCGCAAUGAUUGCCAUCCAUAACAAUAAGGGAUUAUAAAACCACAAAAAUCAUAAGCGCAUCCAACCAAUCCUUGGAACUAAUUGUUUAAUUCAAAAAAAAAAAAAACGACGAGGAAAAGAUAUAUAUUAAGAGAACAAAUAAAGUUUCAAACUUGGCAAAAGUUAAAUCUUUUCCUAAAUUGCAGACAUAAUAAUCAAUAAUUGAACAGCCGACCCUAUGAAUAAUCGUCAACCAAUUAUGAAUACAAUCUGAAUGAAAUCUGUGCUUGCAACCAGCGACAAAGAACUACCCACAAGCCUGGCACAGGACCAUCUUUUGUUCCACAACAAAUUGCACAUUCCCAAUUUUUUGGAGCCAUUUUAUUAUCUUUUCGUGGAUGCUGCAUUUCGCUUUCGAGAAUAUUGAUGUCUAUGAACGUAUCCCUAUCGGAGGACUGCUCCUUUCCACUACGCCGACGAGGAGUAGAAGGUUCUUCUUGCAGGCACAACCAGCUGCAACGUGUUCAAACUAUCAUUAAGAGCAGAAAAGCAGACAUGAUUCCUAUGUCCAUGGAAAAUGAGACUGAAGCCAUAAAUUCUUAAGAGAUAUGGGAGACGGCGACAAGUAACUGCCGUAGCCACUGUUCUUCGUCACAAUACAUACGUAGAAAAAAAGUGGGUAUGUAUAGAAUAAAAGAAAGUGCUAUUACGAGAAGUUGAUAAAAGAGAUAGAACAAAUCCUGAAUUCCGAGUAAGAAUUCCAGUAAACAAGUGAUCUUGAAAAUUUCUUCCCGAAAUUCCAACAAUAAGGCUAGAUUUUAAUAGGAAACUUUAGAUUCUCCCUUGCAUAUAUGAGCUAAAUAACAAAAAACAUUUGGAAGUUGGAACAUGAUUUAAAAAUGUAAAUGUAAAUUCAUGGUUCAAACAAUGUUUUAAAACUGGAUCAGAUCAGACAGUUGGAACAUGAACCAGCCGUGAUAUAGGUCUGAUUCUAUAUUUAACUUAGAAAAAUUAUGAAUCAGUCAAACCUUAUUAAAAACCAAAUGAACAGAUCAAACCUGCUAACAAAUAUAUAUAUAUGUUAAUUUUAACCAAGUCAUUUAAUAUUAAAUAAUUAGAACAUGUAAAAUUAUUGAAUCGGAUUUUGAAUCAAUCAAAUCGGUUGAAAUAUAAACCAAAAGGUCAUCCAAUGCAUUUGUCAAUCCGGAUUUCAAAACAUUGGGUUCAAAGACGAUAGGAGUCUACUACCAUACUCGUCCAAGAACAACACGUACAAGCAAGGGUGAAGCUACAUGCUCCUAAGGUGGGCAAUGCCCCCUUCCCCUAAAUUUUUCAGAAACCCCAAUUUACACCCUCUCAAACCACAGGAAUUAUAUAUAGCACCCCUUUAAACAACGAAUCAUGGUUUACUUACUAAAGCUUAAAUUAACCAAUACCCAAUGUUUGAAAAACUAGUGAAGAAAAACAAAAAAAGCAAGAGAAUAAGAGAUGCAUAAAAAUUUAGAAAAUCCCACAUUAGACUUUUAAUAACAUGGAAUACUUAUCCCCAAAUGCAGUCAAUGUAUCUAAGGAAGAAACAAGGUAGUUAAGCAAAGGGAAAAUCGUUCAAAACGUCCCUCACAUUUUACAAAAUGACUUUUUUCAUCAAUCACUUUUAAAAGUAUAUUUUAUAUCCCUUACAAAUUUAUAUUGACCAAAUUUGGUCCCUACCUAGGUUUUCGACUAGUUUUUGGCCGGAAUCCACCACGUGACUUGCAUGUGAUCAUUUUUUAAGGGUAAAUUGUCAAAUCAAAUUUUUACAUAAUCUGAUUCAUAGUCCCUCACAUUUCACAAAAUGAAUUUUUUCGUCCCUAACAUUUUACAAAAUGAAUUGUUUUGUUUCUCACAUUUCAAAAAAUAAAUUUUUUCAUCCGUCACAUUUUUCAAAAUGAAUUUGUUCAUCCCUCAUUGAUCAUGUGUACGAAUAAUUUUUUUUUUCUAUAAACCCACGUAUAUGUCUAUUUGAUUUUACCUGAACAGUAUGAAUAACAUGUAAUUUAUCUCUAUUAAAUUUCAUCUAAACAUGCUAAUCGUAGUUAUACACAUGCUAUUCAAUAAAUAUAUAUGUAUAUAUAUAGAGGUUUAAAACUAAUAUUUUGUUUGAAACCCAUAUAUAUAUUUAUAUGAUUUCACCAUUUGAACCUAUUCAAUAUUUGUGACCUUUCUUUUUUGGUGAUAAUUUAUUUAUUGAGUUGUAUAAUAAGGUCAUCUAAUUAAUGGGUACUAAUUCAAAUUCUAUAAUUGUGCUAACAAAUUUCAGUUUAAAUCUGAAAUUUCUACUUGACACUUUCAAGACUAACAGUUGAAUUACUUGCCUUGUGAUUGUUUUAAAAUUUGAAAGUGUCAAUCACUUUUUUCUUUUUAUCAUACUUUUCUUUUGUUUACUUUUUCUAUCCAAAUUUAAUUCGAUAUAAGCACUUGAUAAUAUUUAGGAUUAAAUGUCUUCUUUAUUUUCAAAUUUCGGGUAAAAGAAAAUGAAUAUAAGUGAAAAACUAACAAUUUUUUUAAACCUAUAUAUAUAUUUAUUUAAUUUCACUUGAAUAGUACGAAUAGUAUGUAAUAUAUUUCUAUUUGAUUUCACAUGAUAUUCGUACUGUUCAGGUGAAAUCAAAUAGAUAUAUACAUGGAUUUAAAAAAAAUUAUUCACACACAUGAUCAAUAAAAGAUGAAAAAAUUCAUUUUGAAAAAUGUGAAGGAUGAAAAAAUUCAUUUUGUGAAAUGUAAGGGACGGAAAAAUUUAUUUUAUGAAAUGUGAGGGAUUAUGAAUUGAAUUAUAUAAAAUUUGAUUUGACAAUUUUGCCCUUAAAAUAUGAUCACGUGCAAGGCACGUGGUAAAUUCCGAUAAAAAACUAGUCGGAAACCUAAGUAGGGAUCAAAUUUGAUCAAUGUGAAUUUGUAAGGGACGUAAAAUUACAUUUUUAAAAGUGAGUGAUGAAAAAAGUUAUUUUAUAAAAUGUGAGGGAUCUUUCGAACGAUUUUCCCUUAAAGAAAAUAAUAAAAAUGAAUAGUGAGAAACUACUUGCAAAAUGGAAAAUAGAUUAAUUACUCUAUUAGAAUGUGCAUUGAAUACAUUUCUUUUUUCUUUUUUUUGCUAGGGGCAUACAUAUAAAUAACAAGAGCUAUGCAAUAGUUGUUCAUCUCAUUGCACAUGUGCAAUUAAAUCCAAUAAAGCACGACCAGGUAAUUUCAUUUUAAUUAACGUGGAUUGAGGGCUCAAGAAGUCUAUUUUUUCAGACUUGUCAAAUAACACACAACCAUGAUUACCUCUCCAUUUUGUUUGGUUAGCUGAUUAUUUUGGUAGAUACUUUUGGUUGCAUCAUAAUUAUAUUUUUCAAUCACCAUCCAUCUUGUCAACUACAUUUUUUUUUAUCUUAUAUACAUUAUAUUGUAAAUGGAACUACUAAAAUAUCAUUCUAAAAAAUUAAAUAUUCUUCCGUCCAACUAUUUCUUAUAUACAUACAUACAUACAAAUAUAUAUAUGGUAAUAAUUAGGGAUAAUUUUAGAAACCUCCCCUGAGGUUUCUGACAGUCUCACUCACCUCCCCUAAACUUUGCAAAAUAUCAUAUACCUCCCCUGAACUUAUAGUUGGAGUAACAAGAUCAGCCCAUGUCAGAAAAAUGAGCAUUAAAAAAAAUAUUUUGAGGAGUGAGAUGAUAUUUGUGUUCCACAUAUGCCCUUUUUUCUUAUCCACAACUUGAGCUAAAGCAAAAGCAAAAAAAAGAAGUAAUAAGUUGAACCAGAUAGAAACAAAUGCAGAUGGCUUCUUCAAACAAUGUUACAAUGCUAUUUAUAUUUUUUUGUUUUAGCUAUUAGACAUUUAUUUAGAUAAUAUGAUCAUUCAAUUAAUUGAAACAUACUUCUGGUGAUAUAAAAAAAAUGUAUAGUUUUAUAAUUUGAGUGAUUAAAAGUAUAAAUUUUUAUUAGUUAAGUCAUAAAAAAUAUUAUUUGAGUGAUAAAAGUAUAAAUUUUUACUAGUUAAGUCACAAAAAAAAUUUCACUAUUUGGUUAAUUGAGUGAAUGGCAAUUGCAGUUAAAUAAAUAGUGUAACAAUCAAAUAACCAAAUUCUCAAUAGUUUAAUAACUCUUUUUGCGAUUUUCUCUGUGGAAAAUGAAAUGAAGUAGCAAGAUACUUCAUUUCAUUUAGUGCUAGAUACUUUACUUGAGAUUUUUAAAAAAAAAAAAAAUUAAUUCACACUGUAGUUAGUCGAAUUUAUUCAACAAGCUUCGUUUGAAUACCAGAACUUAGGUAGAUCCGAUUUUCAAGAAAUUCAAUAACCCAAAUUGUGUCGCAUCACUUUAUGAGAUGAUGUAAUAUACAAUUUACGUCAUUGAAUUUUUUAAAACCAAAUUUACCCAAAUAUAAGUAAUGAGUUACACUAGAUAAUUGUCUUACAAAAAAAAACAUGAAAUACAUGACUUUAGAGAAAGGUAACACUAGUGCUAAACUCUUCAUUGGUGAUUGUACUACGAAGAAAAAAUGUAAAGUGGAAUAGAAGGUAUAUCAUAAGUUAUAUCUCUAUUACUUAUUUAACUAAUUCUGUCAAAAUAGCUUCAAAAUAUAUCAUAAGUUAUGAGGGUAUAUCUGUCAAUUCAUCAUCAAUGAUAUCACAAAUAGGGCCCAAUAAUCUGACAAGGGAGGUAUCUGAUAUUUUGCAAAGUUCAAGAGAGGUGAGUGAGACUGUCAGAAACCUCAGGGGAGGUUUCUGAAAUUAUCCCUAAUAAUUAAUGAUUUAAAAUCUACAACUUAAUCAAACUUCUAACUUUUCCAGAAUUUGUCAUAUUUAUAACACGUGGCAAUUCUAGUCUUUUCGAGUUACACCUGUAUCCUCUCUAUUGUCGGCCUUUCUUACUAUAUUGGACACUUUUCAAAUGGAUAAGCGGUGGACCGCCUGAGAACAAGACGGCCAUCAAUUUGAUGUUAUGUUUAUCUUAGCCGUUGGCAGGUGUGGUGGAAGGAAUGAUUAGAUGCUGAUCCCAGUUAGUACUAUAUUAGAGUUCGUUAACAGUUUUAAGACAAUAUCUUGUGACAAGAAAUGACCUCAUGAGCGCGUCACUAGAUCAUUGGUACAACCAGAUUUUCUUAAUAUAGAAACUUUAACUCAUUUGAUUACUUCAAAUCCUCAAGCCUAAUAGUUUCUUAGAAAGUUAAUAGUAGUAUUAAUUAAUUAAAGUGUGUAAAUGCAAUAGAGGAUAAUAAUUGUUAGGAUUUGUCUAAAUGGGCAUGCGUCAAGAUAUAUUUCAAGUGCGUUAUUUUUUAAAAUGUAAGAUUGAUAUAGAAAUAUAAAUAAAUACAAGGAAUGGUAGGUAAGAUUAAAUAGGAAAAGUAUAUAAAUAUAAGUGAAGUUAACAAUUAAUGGUACGUGUAUAUACACGAUAAGUUAAGUGAAUUUUAGAUAUAUUAAUAAGCGACCAAUUGACACCUGGUAGAAAAACCCUAAUUGUUAAUGUGUAUAUAUACAUGAUAGAUUGGAUGAAAAUUAGGUAUGCUAACGAGUAUCCAUCGAGCACGUGCUAGAGAAAUCCUAAAUUAAAAUAGGUCAAAUGAAGUUUAAAGUCAUGUUAACUUUUAUAUUGAGCAACUACAUACUAGCAGCAAUAUAUUUGGAUUGGCCAUAAUUACACGUGAAAAGAAAAUUUAUUUACUUGCAUCAUAAAUACAUAUAUUAAUAAUAUUUUUAUCUCACUUAUAUCACAUCAAAAAAAUAUAUUAUAGAAAUUAUUUCAAAUUAUUUUCCAAAUAAUCUUCUAAAUUUUCUCAAAAUUUUGCACUACGUUAAGGUCCUAAUAAUAGGAUAAUAGCAGAGAUGAUUAUAGCUGUCAAGCGUGAAGAGAGAGCAACAAUAACUUAAUGAUCGGAGGUCUAUUGAAACCAUUGUAAUAUAAUUAGUCUGCCUUGUUUUUGCCAUGAUAUAAACAUUCUUCCCCCGAGAAACCUGCUAACUUGCCGGUUUACCAAAUUUUCUUUUAAACAAGGAAGGGUAAACACGACAAAUAUAGAUAGUUCCUUAUGCAUUUUAUAGCAUAAUCAAGAGUUAUUUCUCUUUUUGAAGAGGACGAUUACAUAUACAAUCAAUCAUCACAAAGCAUGAACAAGAAUGCUAGUCCGGCACAAUGGACAAGUUCUGCUCUUCUUCAACCAUUUCUGAAUGCAUUCAGCAUGAAAAGUAUGAUUACAAGCAGUAAGCUCCCAGCAAGUUUCCCCAUCUUCAAUCUCACAUAUGCAGAUUGUGCAGCUGCUCAAGCUUCCAUCCCUUCCUUUUCCUCCAGAAACGACUUUAUCUACCACUACUUCAACUCUUGAUGAUGAAGUUUGCAGAACUUCUUCUCGAAAUCCACCGCUGGUAGCAGGUUGCGCGGCCCCGGCUAUUGUAGAUUGCCUUUGAAUACGGAUUCUGUUGCAAAAAUAGGUCUUACAUUUUAUGAAAACAGCAGAUAAAACGAAUGCUAGAAGCCCAGCUCCAAAAUAAAAGAAUACUUGAACUUCGUUCAUGUUUUUUUUUUUUUUUUUCAGAAAGAAGGGACAGUUUGCUACAUGAUUCUAGCAAGAGUUUGUUUGUUUGGUGCUGUGGGCUACAAGAAUUAUUGAAGUAUUUGAUAUAAUAAGAGUGGAUUUGAAGCUGAAACUCUGAAUCCUCCAAACAUGUCCUUGAGCACCGAAUGAUUCUUCCUUGUAGGGGAGCAAGAAUAGGUAAAGAACGAAGACACAAAAGUCAAGCAGUUUGGAUACUGUGGUAUAAUUUAAUUUCUUUGGACAAUGUCCCUAUCGAAAUGUAGCUUCGAUGUUGUGCCAGCAAACUAGCAUUGGUGUUCCCAGGACACGAGGCCAGGGUCCAUAAAAGGAAUAUUUGGGUCACGUAGAUUGGAAAUUCAGGUUGCGUCUCUAGUCAUCUCAUUUAACAAUUAUGCAUUUCUUGAUGAGAUUUUUAGCACUCGAGAAAACAGAGCAAAAUAACAAAGGGCUGAUGACUUCACAAGAACAAGCAACAAAGUUGGUCGCCAAGUUUCAGCAAGUAAAUGAUAAUAAUCUUUCAAUACUGAAAAUUGAUCUUCUCUAAUCCAAAAUACAGGGUAGCCUCUAACAACUAUCUACCUAAGCAAGAAUCAUCAUGCUGAAGUUUCAGACAAGAAGAAAUACUUGCAACUAUAUAGCAACAGAAUCGUGGUUUCUUCUUCAAUUCAGUAAUUCCAGGACGUUGACAUCUUCAAACAGGGA